rnacentral:lncRNA from 1 species
AAGGCAUUCCUCUUAGUGUUAUUCAACUCUAUUGGCAUUCAUUGUGUAGAUCAAAGGGGUUUGGAGAUCAUUGAGAGGAGAUUAGUCAUAAUUUGAGGAGAUGGCAUAUUUGUAUAUUGUGUUGUAGUCUAAACCUUUUGUAUAGACUCCUUGUAUGGUGGAGAAGUUCAAUCAUAUUUUGAUCAGUUUUUUUUGUAAUUGUGGGGAGGACUCCUCAUCCUCCUCAUAUUCUUUUUAACCUUAAUAAAUACAUCUCUUGUUUCUGAUUAAAAAGAAAAAAUCUCUAGUACUGGAUUAACUCUAUUCAACCUUAUGGGUAAGACAAAUAUUAUUUACAUCACACAUUAGUUUUGGUGUACUUUUAUUGGGAGGAUAAUAUGUAAACAUUUUUUCCCUCGUGUUUGCUGAUUUUGUUUGCUUUGAUUGGUUUUCCAAUUGUACAAUAUUAUAUUUAUUUUUAUUUUUAUUUUAAAAUAGUCAUAAUGCUUUCAUGAACAUGAUGACUACUACAUAUGCAUAUCAGAUAUGGACAUAGCAGCUUGAUGAUAUAUAAUAUAUUUACUGGUUAUAUUUGUUUUACCCAUUGAUUUGGAAAUCCAUUGUUGUAGAGGAAGAAGUUAUCUUUUGAAUUCUUGGGGCUUUCUUUAAUUGUGUAUUUGUGUUAAUAGAUGUCUUUUUUUCUAGAUAGUAGCUGUCCGUUGCUAGUUCAGACUUCAUGAUGCUGUUAAUAUGGAUUCACUGAUCUCUUAGUAUUUCAGAGUCAUGUUUUGCUUGUUUUUUUUACUGACUGCAACUCCAAAGAAACUCCAUAUUUAAUAAAUUCAUUCUGAUAUGUUCUAGGCAACAAGUGCUGGAUUAAAAGAGCAAGAGGCAAUUAACUUCCUGGAGAAGAAAAUGAAAAAUGAUCCUGCAUUUUCAUAUGAUGAGACAGUUCAGGUAGGUGUAUUUUUUCUUUUCAGGAAUCUGGAUUUCUAAUUAUGGCACAUGGAGAGGUCUUUGGUCUUGUGGCAUAUGGUUUUCAUUUCAUUCUAUGUGUCCCCUCUCUCUUUUCUGGUGUUGAAUGUUAAAUUGAAAACCUUGAGAUUGAAAGGCACAGUAUCUUUGUUGGCACAAUUGUUGUAUAGUCAUCACAGAUCUAAACUCUGAAAGCUAGCAACUUGCCUUUUUGAUUCACCUUCUUUCCUAAAAGACAUAUAAACAACUUUGUAGAAAUACAAUAUUCUGCAGCCUGAUCCAGAGAUUGUAUCGAGCUGUUAGCAAAAGUAUGGUCCUUUUGUAGACACAAUCAUGUUCUUAGUUCUUUUCCUGUGGUCUAACAUCACUUCAACGCUUCUAUUUUAUAGACUGCUAUUUCUGCCCUGCAAUCAGUUUUGCAAGAGGACUUCAAGCCCAACGAGAUUGAGGUACUGAAAAUGUCCUUUUUUUAGUUGUUUAUUGCUAUAGUUUUAUUACGAGGAGCUCUACAAGGCCUUUUGGUUCUUUGGUUGCAUUGGCAUGGUGAGUGUCCCCUUGCUGGGGAUCGGUUUUCAAUGUUUCUUAUCAUUUCUCCUGAGUAUGGCUCUAUAUCUAGCUUCUGGAUGGAUGGAUUCAUUUAUACUAACUCUAAAUUAUAUCAUUUUCUUCUCCAAAGAGCCUAGUCAAUUGUUUUUCUCUUUCCUAUUAGUUAAAAAAUCAGCAAGUUGACCUGAGUCUUAUUUUCAGUGGAAGGCCAUGUUAACUUCAACUUUAAAUCUCUCCUCAUUUUCCCAAGCUGAUUAUAUACCAUAUUUCCCUUGUGAUCUUCGGUAUCUCCCAUCUCCUUCUUAGGCAUUUCUUCUGUUUUUCAUUGCUUUGGAAAUUAUAUCAGAAUAAACAUUCCGUUUCCAAAAUGAGAAGUUCCUAAUUGUAAACCUUGAACUCCUCUUUGAACUUUUGAUUUUCCUUGCAUGCCACCAAAGCCUGGAGACCCCAUCAAACUCAAAGGAUACAUGCUCUGGGACUGUGGGACUGUGGGACUUCACUCUGAUUCCUGGGUGAUCAUCACUCUUAUCCUGCAUUUGCAGCAUAAUGGUGCUAGUCAAUGGGUCUUACCGAAAACGUGCUCUUAGCUUGCACUUGGUAUGUGUGGGAAUAGUAAUGAAAAUAGGAUGAAAAUAAAGGUGAAUCACAAUACCAUGUAGAAAAGAGGAAUCAAAACCCUAGUGAGAGGAAAUGUGGUUUCCAUACUAAUAAAUUUUUUAUUCUCAUUCCCAUUCUGAAAAGUAACAUAAACACAUUAAUGAAUGAGAAUGAACUGGAUUUUUUAUUCCCAUUUCUAUUCCAUUGUUCCAAACAUGAACUAGUGUGAACUGGGAGUAUUUUCCCAACUCUCCACAUACUUAUCCAUUUUAAAGUCUCUACAUGAAAUCCAUCUCCCAGGUCCUAAUUCACCUCAGUGGUUGUUCUUAUCUCCUUCCAGUUUGUCAUUCAGAAUUCAAAUAUUCAAUGAAGUAUAAGGGGAGGAAUAAUCCAUCCCCCUAUUAUCCACUGUCACAUGUUCUCUUGGAAAAAGAUACAAGAUACAUCCAACUCUUGCAGACAUCUACGAAUUGAACUAGGCCCUCCUAUUCGGGAAUUUUUUUUCCUUUUUUAUUUUUGAUUUCCAUUAAUAUUAUCGAACGAGAAUUUGAGAUUUGACUUGAACCUAGAACCUCCCAUAAAGUUAAUGAACUGCUGUUAUUUUUGACAGGUUGGAGUGGUGAGGACCGACAGCCCUGCCUUCAGAGUGUUGUCCACCGAGGAGAUCGACGAGCACUUGACUGCCAUAAGCGAGCGCGACUGAGUUCUGAUCUCUACCUGAAACCGCCUGGACAAGAAUGAUUAUUAGUUCGGAAAAUGCUUAUUGUUUUCUGUAAUUUUAGUCCUCUGGGACAAGCUUAAAGUCGCUUUAUCGAGACUGUUGUUAUCAGGCUGACUGGUUCUUCUGUUUCCAUUGCUCUACUUUCUUUUGUAACUUGAUUUAAAAAUGCAGAGUGUUAGAUCACUGGAGUUUGGAGGAAAUCAUUGAUCAUCAGACCAUAAUGGGCUGGUUUGCCUUAUCAAAUGAAUAUGGUUGAAAACUCUUUUGGGACUGAUUUUCUUAAAAACUUGUUUAAGAGUGAUUUUGAGAGAGAUUGGAAAUGCAUAUUAAUGUUUUAAUCAGAAUCAUUCCAAAUGACCUCUAAGUGAUUGAUGGAGAAGGCUUCCUUCUAUUAGCUUUUUAGAAGUUGAAGUUACUUAUGAUAUUUAUAAAACAAUUAUUAUUUAUUUGCAAUCAAGCCUCAAACGCUUACAAUGCGAAUUGGGGGAAUUGAUGGAUGGACUUUGUAGAAUAUGAUUUAAUAUAUAGUCAAAUGAUUUACUAUAUAGUAUAUAUGAUUAUAUAAAGGACAAUAUUUGGUAUGGUGCAUUUUUGUGAGGUGGGAUUAAAUUUUAACAAUAUUUAAGUAUGAUAGGAUGUAUCCAUUGGAUGCGAUUUUGUGAGAUGGGAUUAAUUUUAAUGAUUUUUAAUGCCGGUGUUUGUUUUUUUACUUGAAAUAAUUUAUUUUCAGGUUAUUUGUUUUUCUAUUUUUUUCAUGACUUAUUAUAAAUUUUUUACUAAAUAAAAAAAUUCAAAAUAUAUAGUUUUUUUUAAAUAGAAGAAAUAACAUAUUAGUUUUUUUUACUUUUUAAUACUUAAUAAAAAUAAAAUAUUACAAAAAUAAACGACUUAAUAUUUAAUAUUAUUAAGUGUUAAGGUUCUAUUUAAAAUUAAGUAAAAAAACAAACACCACCAAUUAAUCUCUAUUAUUUGGACAUUUAUUUUUAUUUUUAUUUUUAUUUUUAAAAAUAAAAUUUUAAUUUAUUUUAUUUUGAACUAGAUUUAUAUGGAACAAACAAAUGGGAAACAAAUGAAAAAAGAAAUAUAUAAACUACAAGAGAUUAUUAAACUAUCAAUUUUCCAAAAAGUUUAAAUUUAUAGGAUUUAUGCAUCCUUAACAUAUCGUGUUUUUUUAUUUUUAAUUUUAUAUACAAAAUUUUAAAACUUUUAUAUUUAUAGGUAGUACUAUAUUUUAAAAAAUAAAAAUACUAAAUAUAUUUUUAUAUACAAACUACUAUUAUUUUUAUUUUUUAAAACAAAAAAGUAUUAAAAGUAUCUCAGCAACACCUAAGUUUUAUUUAAUGACAUGAUUAAAGAUCCAAUAAACUAUUGAAGAUUAGGAACUAAUUUAAUUGAAUUUCGUUUGGGAAAUUAUUAUUUUUGUAAACUAAAAUCAAGGCGCCCACUCUCAUAUUUGAGGCAACAAAAACGCGUGGAACGAGCCAAAAUCAAAGCAAUCCUAACCCAUUUCCCUGCAAUCUCUCAAAUCCGUGUUGUCCCCAGCGUUACCUUCACAACAACAUCAACAACUUCAGCAACUGCAGAGAAACCUCCUCCUAGAUCUCGAUCUCCAUUUUCCGAUUCUCACCCGGUUUGGUUACAGCCUACAGGUCUAGUCGGUGUCAUAUUUCGGUUGCUUCAGCGGCAGUUUAUUCCUCUCACCGACACGUGUCCGUGGACCCCACACAUUCUCACACGGUCACACCUCCCUGCGUUUUGCUUCCUCCAAGUAUAUAUCAUUCGCCUACACGCGACUUCUCUAGAGAAAAACCCCAUACUAAGAAAAUAAUAAUAAUAAUAAUAAUAAUAAUAAGAAUAAAAAAUAAAAGAAAGUUUAUCGUUGAAUCCAAAUUCUUUCUCAUUGAUCACUUCAUUUUAGUAUAUCCCUUAGAAACCGAGGUUUCGAAUUUUUCCGUGAAAAUCAAGUCCUUCAGGUUUGUUAAUUGUGUACUUUGUUUUGUUUAUUGGUUUUUCUAUAUUAUUUUUCUCUCGCUUUGAAUAGUAGAAUCCCAAUAAAAAUGUUUCCAAAAUUUGGGAUUUUAGGGUUUUGUUUACGGAAAUUUGUGAUCAUGUUCAGGUUAUUCAAUUUGAUUGUGAUUCAUUUCUGUGAAUUUCCGUGCUUUGGAUGUUUGGUUACUGAGAAAAGCGUAGAAGCUUCGGAUUUGCUUGGCGGCCAAACGGGAUUGUUGGAUCAAAUAUCAGUUGGUAUGGUAAUUUAGCUGAUUGUUUUGUGUUUGAUUUUUUUCUGUAGGGAUCACAGAGUCAUGGCAACCGCGACUAUGGCGACGGCGGCUGGGGCGGCUGCUCUUUUAUACUAUACAUUGAAUAAGAAAUUGCAGACGGGUAGGUCCACGGAAGAGGACGAUGAAAAUGUGAACAAUAACGCUACAAUAGGGAUUGAGAGAGUUUCGCAUAGGAUGAUUCAAGCGCCGGCCACUUGGCUGGAGACGAUCUCGACUUUGUCAGAGACACUUAGGUUUACUUAUUCUGAGACUUUGGGGAAGUGGCCUAUUGGCGACUUGGCAUUCGGGAUCAAUUUUCUUCUGAAAAGACAGGUGAUGACUUUUUUAUUAUUGUAGUUCUGAUUUAGCAUAUGAUUGUAUUGCGGUUUGCUUUCUGUCUGUACUUCUUUUUUUUGGUGGGGGGAAUGUUUCUCUCUAUUUGAUGAAUGGAACAGUUAACUUUUACCAAAAUUGAUAGAUUUUCUGAAUCACUUGGACUGGUUUCUGAGGUAGACUAUGGCCAGGGAUAAAUUUUUAAGAAGUCGGGGGAAAUGUAGUUUGUUUUCGAUGGGAGAAUCAUUUUGGUGAAUUAGUUCUAGUAAUAUAGUAUUGCUCGAAUUUUAAAUGUUGUUUAACCAUUUAUGUUCAAUUGAAUAUGACGACUGAUUAUUGAAUCCUUGUUGAUAUUCUUCUGAAGUAAGAACACCUUCUUUGGCAACUGGAUGCAAAUUGGCCUUAUUCAUCUUUGGAGACCUAAGAGAAAAACAGUGCUUCAAUCUAGAAAUGUAAAGAUUAAAAAAAAAAAAAGGUAAUCCUAGGAAUUGCCUUUUUUUUAAUUGAUUUUUUUAGGAUUUCUUAAUCCUAUCAAAUAAGCAUUGAUUAUAUCUGGAUGGUCUCACAUUUAUCAAAAUUGACAGGUUAUAGUAGUGUAGGCGAUUGUCUUACCUUAUGUUGGAUCUUUAAAGCUGAUAUAAAGGUUUUCUUUUUGCUAGAUGUUCCUCCAAAAAUGUCAGUAUGACACCAGAAUACCUCCAAAUCCUGGGAGUACAAACUGAAAACGGCAUAAUGCCCCUUUUUUCUAGCUAAUUCUUAUUAUAUUGUCUAAGUGCUUCCCCAUGGAUGGUGUGAUUAAAAGGAAAAAAUGGUGGUUACCUGAUUUGCAUAUCUGUUUGCACAUAUGGCACACCUGUGGAGAAAAAACUCUGUUUAAUCUCCUUUUAUUAAGCAGGACCACAGUUCAUACCUGCUUUUAUGGAAGACUUUCAAAGUCUGAUUUUAACUAGGAGGGGAUUUACUAUUUUAUAAAAGAGCAAUCAUGUUCCAUUACAUUUCAAUAAAGAUCUUAUAUCCAUUAAAUUUUGGUAAUUUUUUUCUAGAAAUAUGAUUGCCUUUCGCAAGUUUAGAUGCUGGUGAACCAAAUGCACACAAUGGCUUUUAUUUAUUAGGCCACAUAUUUUACCUUGUAUCUUUACUUUGCAGGGGAACUUACAUGUUGGUAGCGUGUUUGGUGGUGAAGAUAGUUUGCAGCUCAAAGGACCAGAAAUAAUCGCAGAACUCAGAUAUCUCUUAAACUUGUUAACCCUUUGUUGGCAUUUCUCAAAAAAGCCCUUCCUGUUAUUUUUGGAGGAGACCGGCUAUUCCAUAGAAAAUGUUCUCCUUCAUGAGCCCAAAGCAGGGGUAAGUGAUCCUGAAGUUCAAUGGUUCAGCUGUGUUUACUGAUUUGUGUGUAUUUCUUCCUUCCACUUCUUGUUCUUGCUUUUUUCUUUUUUGUUUGUUUUGUGUGUGUGUGGAUUGGGAAAAAGAGAGAGAGCAUGGUGGAGCAGAAUAUUGGUGGUGUUCCGUUCUGAAGUUCUGAAGUUUAUUGCUCAUUCUAUGCAGAUUUUGAAGCCAGCUUUUACAAUUCUAGCUGAUCACGAAACAAAAUAUUUCCUCUUAUUGAUUCGUGGAACUCAUAGCAUCAAAGAUACCCUGACAGCUGCGACCGGAGCAGUGGUACCAUUCCAUCACACUGUUGUUCAUGAGGGAGGAGUCAGCAAUUUAGUUUUAGGUUAUGCACAUUGUGGAAUGGUUGCAGCUGCUCGGUGGAUUGCAAAGCUUUCAACUCCUUGUCUUACUAAAGCACUUGGCGAAUAUCCUGAUUAUAAAGUUAAGGUAAAUAAAUUAUAUGGAAAUUUAGAUUGUAACUAUCCUUGUCAAUUUAAUAUAUAAUUUGAAACAUAAUUCUAGUCCUUUGUUCUUAAAUAAUUUUCUAUUAGUUUCUAGUAUCUCACAAGGAAGAUGGAGCAUCUUAUCUACCUGCUUUUCCUUCAGAAUUUUUUCCCCUUGAAAAACCUUAACAUUGGAAUAUUGUUGGUUAAAAUUGUGUUAUCUUUGCAUGUUUCUUUUUCUGUUCUUCUGUUGUUCUAUUUAUUACGUUUUUUUUGUAGGCAAUUGUUCUAUUUAUUACUGGUUCUUGCAAGACAAGCCCUUGACCUUGUCGCCUUAGUUGUUAAAAACUUGUGAUACAACGAUACAAUACAUUUUUUAUGAAGAUCAAUAUAUAUUGCAAUCUAUAUCUCUUUUUAAAUAUAUCUUAUGAUACAUAUACAAUACAUGAUACAACUAUGCAUAUGCCUUCAACAAUUUUUUAUAAUCUUUAAGAAAAAUCAAAUUCAUUUUUUUAUUAAAAGAAUUACUAUAUUAAUUGUUUAAAAAUAUAGAAAGGCUAAAAAUUGAUCAUAAAAAGGAGAGGUAAAAUAAUCUUAAAAGAAAAGCCAUGUUCUUGUUGUUAAAGACCCAUAUUGGAAAUUGGGUAAAUUCAUUUUUACAAUGAAUACUAGAGAAUUUUUAUUUGAAUAGUUUGAAUGUUGACAUUGAAAAUGAGAGUGAUUGAUGAAUAAAAACUUUCACUAUGUAUACCUUUUUUUAAAAAAAAAAAAAAAUCAAUGGGGAAGGAAUGCCAACAAUCAUGAAAAGUUGGAACUUUUGAGAUAACAUGAACAUUUUUUUUUCUUUUGCUUUUUGAUAGGUAAAGAUCAAUUGUAUUGAAAGUGCCUAGUUGCGGAUAACACAUAAGCAUGGGCGUGUGCCACACACACCCCACCCACCCACACACACACAUAUAAUACAUUUUCAUUGUUAGAAUUUGGAACACACACACACACAUAUAAUACAUUUGCAUUGUUAGAAUUUGGAACUAAAAGUCAUACCUAAAAAUUUAAAAAGCUUAUUUUUGUUUUAAAUAUAUUGUUCAUUGCCUAUAAAAAAAGUUUAUUUUUAUGGAUUUUGUGAUGAACCUAUACAUUAAACUCAUAUUUUAUUAAAUUAAACUUUUUCAAACUCUUUAACAUUUAAUAUUUUCAUAUGGUAUGAUAUAGUUUAACUCAUUAAAUUCUGCUAUCUUUCAUGAAAUUGGUUAUAUAUUACUUUAUAUUUCUUGUUUCCAAUAUAUACACACAUGUAUGAAUAUUUUUCUAUUUGUUUUCACUAUAUAUAAAAAGAAAAAAACCAUGAUAGGACAUGAUACAUGAUACAAAAAAAUAUAAAAAACAAUACAUGAUGCGGAAAAAUAUAAAAACGAUAUAUAAUACAUUUUAUGAAUUAAUGACUAUGCUUGUGACCAUCCCACCAAACAGAGUUCUUGGAGGGAUAAGUUGGUUAUAGUCCUAAUGUUCACAUUUUUGCAUGAAGUGGCUGGUUCAAGACUAAAACCUAAGCAUCCAAGAUAUUGUGGUGCUUCUACCAUUGCACCAUAUAAUUGGUUCCUAUUAUUCAGUGCUUUCAAGAAUACAUUAAAUUUGUUGGCAUUGUUCUUUUCUCUUCAACUUCUUCCUCCUGAAUUUAGUAGGUAUUCCAUUGUUUUCCUUAUAAUCAUGACUCUUUAGAAAUAUUUUGUUGGAAUUACCCAAAAAAAAAAAAAAGAGAGAGCUUAGAAGAAUGCAUAAAUAGCUUUAUACAAAAUACUGCAUCUGGAUUCUCUUGAUUUUUUAUUUUGCCAUUUUUAAUGAAGUUUAUAGUUUUUUAGAGAGAAAAUUGUGUUGAAAUUUCUUUUUUCUGGAAUUUCUUCCUGAUUAUCAGUUAGUUUAUUAUUUUCCUUAUGAUUAUGGACUUCUUAGAAAUAUCUUGUUGAGAUUACAGGGAAAAAAUCACUUAGAAGAAUGCAAAAUUGCGUCAUGCAAAAUACAGCAUUUGGAUUCUCUUGAUUUUUGAAUUUGCCAUAUUUAUUGAGGUUCAUAGUUUUUGAGAGAGAAAAAUUGUAUUUUAAUUUGUUCUUUUGGAUUCCUACAGAUUGUAGGACACUCUUUGGGUGGAGGCACUGCAGCACUUUUAACGUAUGUAUUGCGUGAGCAGAAGGAAUUGUCAACAACUACUUGUGUUACAUUUGCUCCAGGUUUGUAUUCAUUAUGGACUGUAUCCUAUAUGUGCUUUUUUCCGUUUGGACAUCCAUGCCUUUUGGGCCUUGUUAUAUUUCACUUCCAACCACAUUUAUUGUGAUCUCCCUUUUGAUAUUUGCACUUCCAUUUGUUUAGUUGAGUUGUGAGACAUGUUUGUUGUUCCUUCAGACUGUUUUGGCACUGAUUGGAUAUGGCACAUGCAGGUGCUUGUAUGACUUGGGAACUGGCAGAAUCUGGCAAUGAUUUUAUUGUUUCUAUUAUAAAUGGAGCUGAUUUGGUACCUACGUUCUCAGCUGCUUCUGUAGAUGACUUGCGAGCUGAGGUUUGCCUGGAAGUGUUAUUUUGAAUUUCUAAAACUUGAGAAUACUACCUUAAAUAUAUAAAUUAAGUAUAGCUGAAGAUUGCCCUUGUCAUUCCCCAUAUUAUAUUAUUUUUUGUCAUGGGUUAACAAGAUGAUGCCAAUGCUUAUGGGAGGAAAUGAUCCUGGACCUAGGGUGGGUUAGAUAUCUAGUUUAGGUUUUUGUCAAGUACACUAUGCUUUGAUUGCUGCCUUCUGUGCCUGACAAAACCAAUAUGCCUAGUUACCUAGUUGCAAAUCAUAUAUUAAGUACAUUUAUAGAUUGCCCUAGUUAUUUCCCAUAUUAUGUUAAUUUUUGGGUUAACAAAAUGAUACCAAUGCUUAUGAGAGGAAAUAAUCCUGGACUGGGGUGGGUUAGAUAUCUAGUUUAGGUUGUUGUGAAGUACGCUAUUACCUGCUGAAACCGAUAUGCCUAGUUUCAGUUUGCUGAGUAUGCCUAGUUUCAGUUAACUAUCAAUUCAUUCUGUUCUUAAUUAAUUAAUUUAUUUAUUUAUUAGGUGACAGCAUCUGCUUGGCUGAAUGAUCUGAGAAAUCAGAUAGAGCGUACAAGAAUCCUUAGCACUGUCUAUCGUUCUGCUUCGGCUUUGAGUUCCCGUCUUCCAUCCAUUGCCAGUGCUAAAGCAAAAGUUGCUGGGGCUGGGGCAAUUUUACGCCCAGUUUCCAGCAGUACACGGGUAGCCCUUUUUCUCAGCACAAUCUAUUUCUCCGUGCAUUAUCUAGUUUCCAUGGAUUAUCCCAUGUCCUUCCAUCAAAUGGACAUAAUAAUAAUAUAGUAUCUUAUUAUCAGAAAUUCGGCAAGUAAUUACAACUAAAAACAUUAUUUUUGUUUCUUUUCCCGACGAGUUCCCUUGCUUAUUUUUAGGUCCUCUUGGAAGCAUUGUUACCCUUAUGAGCAGUGAGGGAGCAUUCUCCAUGCUUUUUGAAUACUGUUAGCUGAAUCAGUUUUUAACUUCUUAAAUUGGUGGUUUAUUUCUGUGAUCUGUACUCAUAAUUAGGGCUAAGUGGCCUAGUGACUUUGGUUUAAUUCUGUUUCUAAUGUCCACAGGUUGUGAUGAGAAGAGCCCAGAGCAUGGCUCAAGCAGCAUGGAUUCGUCCUGCACUUUUAUCCUCAUGGUCAUGUAUGGGACCUCGUCAUCGAGUGACAGCAGUUUCAAACUCAAAAGAAGCAGGAAAUUCCUCAGAACCUUCCUCUAGAAUUGAAUCGUCUGACCCUCUUAUCACAUCCCCCACCAGAGCUAAAACUACCAUUGAAAGUACAGCACUUCCCAUAUCUUCAUCAGAAGGACUGGAAUGGAGUUCAGAAAUCGAAUGUUCUUGUUCUGAUGAAAUGGGUCCUCACUCUCAUGGGGAUGCUUGUCUUGAUGAGGAUGAGGACAUCAUGGCCCAGGAUGGACAUGAAGACCGUAUGACUGAAGUUGAGUUGUGGCAACAACUUGAACAUGAGCUUUACAAUCGGCCAGAUGGUGAGGAGUCUGAUGUAGCAAACGAAAUAAGGGAAGAAGAAGCAGCAGCCAUUGCAGAGGUCGGUGAGGCGCCUCAGAGCUCUGCUCCAGAAAUGAAGGAAGCACACAGAUUCUUUCCUCCGGGAAAGAUUAUGCAUAUUGUUACCCUUCUCUCUGAAGGAGCAGAAUGUGAAGGUGAUGGCACCAUCUCCAAUGAUACAGUUGAUGCUCAGUCAGUAGAGACUAAUAAGGUUGGGAUUUUUCUCACUCCAAGGUCGUUGUAUAGCAAGCUGAGGCUGUCACAGACCAUGAUCAGUGACCACUUCAUGCCAGUUUAUAGAAGGCAGAUAGAAAAACUGAUUAGAGAACUUGAGAAGGAAGAAGUUUCAAAUACUGAUGAUCAUUAUAAUACGGAGGUCGGAGAGGUAGCAUUAUAGAGAAUUGGACCACCAGACCUACCACAAUACUGAAAGAAGAGCCAAGUUCUUGUCCCAAGGUUUUUCCAGAUCUAACCAACCUAGAAAUUGUAAACAUUCAUUGUCUUCACAAAAUUGGGGAGCAUGGUGUUGGAACCCACAGGUGUAAUGCUCUGACCGGAGUCCUCAAUUAUGUUUAUCAUAGGUGAGAGAUCUUGGAAGGUUGUAUCACUUCAUAGCCUUUCAAAAUCUCGGUCUUUUGUACAGUAUUAAUAUUUGGGUUGAAACUUUGAUUCUUUUGUUCUUUAAUAGAAUGAGUUGAUUUGUUCAAUUGCCUUGCUCUAUUGAAUUGUAUUUAACUAUUUAUUGUGACAAGUUCAUCAUAUGAUGCUGCCUUUCUUCUCUUGGUUUCAUUUAUAUGGCAAAAUGUCAAAAAUUACUUAAUGGGCUUUGUGAGGAGUCAAUUCAGUUACAGAAUGAGAAGCUCGACUAGUGGCCACUGAUGGGUUUUGAGCCUGGCACCCUUGCUUGUGUGCCAUCUAUGUAACUAACACAACUGGUAAACUAUUAUAGCCUGCUAAUGCAAUUUACAGGCAGCUGCCUUGAUGUACUGUUGUGGAUUAUGGAAAAGGAUCGAAUUCUUGAUGACCAGAUUGAUGGUGGAAAGUGAUAGAAUUAUUGGUGACCAGAUUUAUAGAAGAGACCGCUAAAUUUCUGCUAUGCGGAUGUCAGCUUGGAUCUCAAACCCAGAAGGCUAGCAAUCAACAGUCAUGAGCAAAAGGUGCCUGCAGCAACUCUAACAACCGCAAAACAGGUUAUGAGAGUCUUUAUCUUUUAUGGUCCCAGAGAAAACAACACUUGGAUUAUGAUUUGAAUUUGUUGAAUAUGACUUGAAUGUUUUUAAAGUUUCCCCACACACCUAUCUAUCACAUUGCAUUAUUGCUUUCGUCACACAUAACUAGUCUGGUCCAGCUAAUUUAUUAAUUUUGGCUUUCAUUCUGUAUGAAGAGCAUCAAUGAGUCACCACUUGAUGGCAAUCUCACAUCAGGAGCACAAUCUUAGACCUAAUUAUAAAAUAUUUUCUCCAUUGAUAAUUGGUUGUAGUUCAUAGAAAUGUUUAAACUAUAUGGGUCUUGGAAAAUUAUACACAUGGUGUAUAUAUAUAUAUAUAUAUAGGAAUAUCCUUGUGACAUAAGGCAUAAUCCCUAUACAAGAUCUCCAGGUUGUUUAACAAAUGCUAGGAAUCCAUAAAAUAUGAUAGAAAUUGUCCAUAUUCCCGGAACCCUUUUUUUUUUCCUGGUGUAUAAUCAUAAAUUGAAAAAUGUUCUAAACCAAUCCAGAGACAAAGAAAGUGAAAUUCAAGCAAUCCAUACAUAAAUAACCGUUAAGAAAAGCAAACUCCAAGGCUAUCCAAAUGCACAAUAGAAGGGUAUAGUUAAGACUUUGCCUAAGCUUUGGAUGGAUCUUGGAAGCAUCAAGAGAAGGGAAAAAAAUAAAUUGAAAGAAAAGUAAAUUAGAAAAGAAAAAUCUAAGGUUCUGAGUCAAUACGUACCCAAUAUUAAAUCCGGCCCGUUCAAACAUACAGGAUCGAGGUUAAACAAAUGAGACUAAAGUGCAAAGGAAUGAAGCUAAGCUAUAAAACAAAGAGACUUAGGUGCACAACAGUAAGACCACAAAGUUGUAGGCAAUGAGACCUGACUUGUACAUGUGGUAUCACCUUAUGGAUGAUACCUUUGGUACUGAAGAAGUACCCUUUGGUACUAUAGACGGACCCAACUAGAAGUUUUGGUGAAAAUUAGUAAACAAUGGAAUUCAUUUUCUAUUGUCAAAAACUUGAGUUCUAUCUUCUUUCCUUUUUCUGAUUCUCUUAAUUUUAUUCAGUGACCUAACUUAACCUGAAGAGGAAAUGAUAUGAAACAAAUGUGGUAUUGGAAAAGGAGUUGUGGUCUGUGUGGACACCCUUGUCGUGUAUCACGUUUCUAGAUUAUAUAAUUCCUUUCUUUAUAAUCUUCUCUGUACCUUUGCUUGAUUUCAGUGGGUCAAAGCAAAUAAACUUUGCUUUAUCUACUUGAGGGAUAAAUUAUGAUUCUUGUGCAGACUUUAGUUUAUUUAAAUGACAUACACUUGGCUCGAAAUAUCAUUUUAGAACUCUGCUUUCAGCACAUGUGGUAAUAGAAAAUUAUCAAAUGAUUCGAUUCAAUCCUGUAUUUUAGAUUACAGACCGAGUCUAAUCCUCUGAUAGAGACCCAUCUGAAUGUUUGAAGUUUAGCUGGUUCUACGCUUUAUCAAGUUGCAGACUGUUGCCUCAACCCCCUUUUAUUUUCGUAGGUUAUUCUACCUACAAUCGACUAGUAUAUCCCGUGAAUUCAGGGUUGAAGAAUACUGGUGAAUGCUGGUACGAAUCAGCCAAGUUGUAUCCACUAUCCAUCUCGACUAUGGUUGCAAUUGCUAUUGUGUGAUUCGACAAUGCCUUGAUUCGAAGUCAAAUCACAUGGCUCGCUAAACACGCAGAACCACCGAGAGUUAUGGCAACAUGACUCGGGUCUAAUGGAAAUGGAAGUGAAAAUAAAUAAUGAUAUCCCCUCGUGGAUCAAGGAAAAAUGGAACAAGAAAUCAUCCGAAUUGACUUUCUUUCUUUCUUUUUUUUAAUGAUUUUUACUUUUUAUUUUCAAGUUACACCAAUUGUCAAAAAUUAAUGUGGGGUGUUAAAUUAAGAUGGUAAUGUUUUUAUUUUUUUGACCAAUUCACUAAUUUUUUUUGAGCUUUUUAACUAUCAUAUCAUAUAUAUCAUUUGAGAUCGAGACUGAUGCGUCUCGGGAUUUGCUCAAUAACUAAUACAACGACUUUGAACCAUGUAUUAGGUUGAUGAAUCCUUUACACAUACUAGAGAGAUGAUGCUUAUUACAUCCCAAAGAUAUCAUCGGUUAAUGCGAUUAAUUGCUUUGAUUUGGUGCUCAAUACUUGAUAUGAUUUUCAGACCUAGUCAUUAAUGACAAUGUUCUCAAUAUAGGAACCUGCAGACCAUAAUACAACUUGUAAAAUUAUUUCAAUGAUGCUGUAUACACCUAACCCUUUGUGGCUUUUUAUUAAUGAUAGGUAUAUCAAGACAUACAUUCAGAUUUCUUUCUUUUCUGUAUGACAAGUCGAAAUUAGUAUUAGCUACUCAGAUGGACCCAGUCAUCAAUUUCUACGAAUUUAAAGACCUGACAGUAGGAUAUUUUUCUUCAUUAAUGAGGGAUUAGGAUUCAUGAACAGAACUGUACAUGAAUUCAAUCAUACAAGUACCCCUGUUGAUUUUUGCUUAUGGUCUCAUCUUCAUCUGGGUUGUUUUGGUCAAUACAUGUACUGGCAAGAAUCCCUCCAUUUAAUGCUAGGACUUUAUUGCAAUUUGCUUAGCAUGAUGAAGACAUUUAUCGUCUUGAUUAAGUUGACCAUAGACUUUUUGGUAUUUUUAUCCUUUUCGGGUUUUUUUUAAUAUUUAAUUUUUUUUAUAAGCAAAGUAAUAUACUAAUAUAUAUAAAUAUAUAUGAAAAAGGAAAAUAGGAAUGAAUACACAAACCGAAUAUAACAUGCACAAAGUGGCAUAUUCAUGAAAGAGAGAAACAAAGAAAAAACAACUCCCUCUUUAUAGUUUUUCUUUUUUCAUAAAUGUUCUUGAUUUUGUUUAAAAUUAACAAAAACACUAGUUUUAAGAAAGUAUAAAGGAGAGAAAAAUCGGUUAGGAAAAAUGGUUUUCAUAUUUGAUUUUACUAAAUAUGAAAGAAAAUCAAAUUUAUUUAAAAUUAAUUAGAAAUUUAUGUAUUUUUAAAUAUAUAUUUUUAUUUUUAUUUUUUAUUUUGUCUUUCCUUCUAAUUUUAUUUUUAUUUAUUUAUUUAUUUCAUAUUUUUGAAACCAAAAGAUGUGCUAAUUUUUUUUUUUUCUUUUUGCUAACAGAAAAUUUGUGAAUCCUCUGGAACUUGCAUUGCAUGGUCAGCAUUGUUUGGACACUCAAAAUUUUUUUCCUAAUUAUUUCAAAUAAAAAUUUUAGACAAAAAACCCCCCACAUGCAAUUGUUGUUCAAAGUGAUCUUGGAAAAGCAUGAUCAUGUCUCCUUGUGGCUGUAAGCAAACCUAUCCAGGAAAAAAACUCAAGUCAUUUUACAACUUGUCCUUAUUCCUUUCCUACCAAUCACUUGUUUUUCCCUCUCUCUUUCUUUUUCUAUCUUUUAUUUACUUAUUUUUGGGUUUCUGUCCAAGUUUUUUCAUUAUUGGAAAUGCACCUUUCCCAAACAGUAAAAGGACAGGACUGAAUUUUGUUUUUUAUAGCAUAAUGGGAGCAAUGAUUGACAUAAAAAAAAGUAUAUUUCAAGUCAUGCACCAAAAAUAAUAAUAAUCAUAAUAUUAAAUUUAAUAAUUUUGAGGCCACUUGAUGAUGAGUGUGUGACACGUAUUGUCUGAUGAUCACGUCAUAUCAAUUUUAUUUACUUUAUCUAUCCUGUCAUGUUUCAUAAGACUUGUGUAGGCUCCAUUUUUUGUGGAAGAUAAGAGUGCCAAAAUUUACAUGCAGGCAUGAAAAAUAAUUUGGCCACUGCAUGUUUUUUUAUUUUAUUUUAAUUUUUGAAUAUUUUCAAAAUAUGGACUUUGUUUUUAAAUUUAAAAAUGGUCUGAAAAUCAUUUUUAUUUUAUAUUUUAAAACAGAAGAAAUAGAACAAAUUUUCUGUUCUCAUUUCCGAUUUCUAUGUUUCACACUCCCACACUGCAAAGGCAUCUGAAUUCAAAUCUAUGGUUCCCACUCAUUAGGCCCAGUUUCUGAAUCCCCCAAGUGUUUCCCACAUACAAAGGUCAAGAUAAAGAUCACGUUAACAAUAUGCCAUAAUUCCCAGAACUGUGAAAUGGGAGAGAGAGAGAGAGAGAGAGAGAGAGGGUCAAAGGAAUUUAAGGAGGUGGAAAGUGGAGCAUUCAUCAUGAAUUAUGGGCAUAUGGUGAUGAAUGGGUGUGAGUACUGGGGGUAGUGGAGGUCCCCUUCCCCUCAAUGGAGGAGUUAAUAAUUUCCUUUAGACUUUGGCUGUGGGGCGGAUGGGGAGGACUUGGCCGAGUUUGGACCAUUGCAUUGCCCCUAAACCAAAACAAACUGAAGGCGACUGGUCAGUACAGGAGGGACACCAAGCCAUACCCCCCCAUGCCGAGAUAUAAUUAUUAUUAGGGGUGGGGGGUUGGGGGAGGUGUGUGGGGAUGCUUGCCCUUGCUUCCCAUCCACUCCUUCCUGCUCUCUCUCUCCAACCUUGGACCAAACAUUGAUGGUUAAAUUUAUUCACAUCUACCCUUUUGAUUUUCGUUGAUGUUCUAUCACAUUCAUGUGUGAAAGCCCAUCGUGUUUUCUCUUAGAUUUUGUGGCUAUCCCACAUGUUCAGACAUUAUAAAUUAUAAAAAUCACCCUUCUUUUAAUAUAUUUAUUAAAAUUUUUAAAAAUAUUUGAUUAAAAGGAUGAAAUAGUAUUCCUAUUCAUAAAAUAAAUGAGAUAAAUCAUUAUAUGAGUCUCGUGCAUAAGAAAUUUUUUCUUAUAUCCAAUGUAAGAUAUUAUAAUUACUUUCUUAUAUACAAACACCCCCACAUUACAGUACGGAUUUGGUUUUGAUAUUAUUUGUAAUAAUUUAUUUUUAAUUAUGUAAAUAUUAUUCAUUUAAGGUUCAAUGUGCCCUUAUACAUGUAGGAAUAUAAUUUUUUUUGCUCAUUGGCAUAUCAUGUGUAAUUUUAUUUCUAACAUUUUUCAUGUUUAAUUUUUUCUUUUUUUAUAGAAAGAGAGCGAUGAUGUGAUAUAGUCAUAAUUUUUUAUAAAAUCUCCUAUUUUAAAAAAUACAAACAAAAUUUUAAACAUUCUUUAAAAAAAUACUUUAUUUAAUUUUGUGGAAAAUAUUCUCUUAAAAUUUAAUUCUGUUUUUGUACAUAGUUGAAUACUGUUAAUUUCAGUAUUUAUUUUGAUAUCUCAGAUCGAAUAUAGUUUAUAAAAUUGCUUCUAAGCCAUCGAAAAAAGCAAUGUAACAAAGAUUUUCCUAAUAAGAUUAAAUCCUUUUUAUUCAAUCACUUGUUUUUUUCUAUAUUGAAAUGAUUAAAAUUGAAAAGGACAAUCACAUUACUUAAUUCAAAAUAAAGGAAUAUAAUAAUAUUAUUUCAAUAUAAAGAUUUUUUUUUUAAAUUUCUAUUUUUAGAGAACUCUAAAAUAAAUAGGAAAUAAUUUAAAAUCUCAUUAAAAAAUUAUUUUUUUUUUUCCAAAAUGGUAAAUGAAUAUUCUUGUUUUGUGCUAAUAUCCACCGAAUACGAGAUUUUCUUUUUCUGAAACCUUUCUCCAAAACUAAAUAAAUAAAUAAAUAAAAUGGGAAACCGUCUUGAAAGCUGUAUCGUACACGUUGGUGGAACACACUAGGCGGGCCGAGAUUGGUCGUAGAAUGGGAAAAUUUCCGAACAGCACAUCUUGGCUAAGACUCUGAACAAAACAUGAUAAUGCUGAGCUGGCAAUCAUUAUUCUACGGCCAGAAAUGAGUGCCAGCACUGCGCGGACGUGGAAUUAAAAAAAAAAAAUUACUAUCUCCAAACCCACCAAUCAUUGGAGACUUUGCAAAAGCCAAACAAUCGAACAUCUCUAUAUCUAUAUACAUAUAUAUAUAUAUAUAUAUAUAUAUAUAUAUAUAUAUAUAUAUAUAUAUAUUCUCUCUCUCUAGACGCUUCACUUUUCAGAGCCAAACACCAAUUAAUUUUCUUUCUGAUUCUCAGCUUCUCUCGCUCUGAUUUUCAGUUUGUUUUAUUUGUGGAAGUGGUGUUGGAUCUCUGGAAUUUUUUAUUUUUGUGUUUUUUUGAGAGAUUGAUCUGUUGGCUGAUUGAUUGGAGUUGUUGUGAGGUGUUUUUUUUUUCCCUGAAAUGUCUUUGAUGUGUGAGGUUUUUGACAUCGGAGAAGCGAAGGUUGAAGGAGAGUGGGAGAAGGAGAGAUAGCGUCGAGAAGAAGAGUGAAAGAAGCAGAGUUAAAGCGAGAAAGAGAGAGAAAAUUUUGAUUUGUUUGGAUUCGCUUCUUCUGGUAAUUUUCUUGUAAAAAAAUCUCCAUUGAUUGUUUUGUUUUUCAGUUUUUUCAUUUUUGAGACGAAUAAUGCUGUUUAACUGGAAAAGCUUCUUCCAAGUGAUUCUUUGAAGUUUGAAUAGGCAAAUAGCCUUGAUUUUUAUGAAAUCGGUUGUUUUACCAGUGAAAAUAUCCGAGAAACAAAUCGGAGUGGCUCUUUUGCUGAUUUAGUGUUUUUCUUACGAGUUUUGAUUAUCGCAGAGUUUGCUAGAAAAUCAAGGCGCUGUAUGGUUCCAUUUCCAGAGAAACCAAGUUUGUCAGAAGAGGUUGGGAGGAGAAGAAUGAAAUAUGUUAGAGUUUUACUAUUUCUGGAAAUCGUUUUCCAAGAACACCGAAAAAGCACAUCAGUUUUCCACGUCUCCCUUUCCAAAACAGCUUUCAAAAACUGUUACCAAAAGGUGUUGGCCUUCUGAUUGUAGAAUGCUGUUUUAGAAAACCAAACUCGACGCGCCAAAAGUAUAAGAAGUGUUUUCCCAAACAUAAAAACAAGAAACAAAAGAUUCGAAUUUGGAUUUUCGAAAUCAAAAUUUUAUAUCAUGUAUUUAUUUAUAUACUUCGGUAUUGUUCUUAGGUUUUCCAGGAACGGAUGUCUGCAACAGUGAUCAACACACCAAUACUAAUAGUGAUGUCGGCGCAAGAAGCUUCAACCAAGAUCAUUUCACAAAUCGAGGUGGAAUUCGCAAAAUGCGAUUGCUGCGGACUCACCGAGGAAUGCACGCCUGAGUACAUCGAGACGGUUCGAGAGCGAUACAAUGGGAGAUGGAUAUGCGGCUUGUGCUCCGAGGCGGUGAAGGAAGAGAUGAUUCAGAUGAAGAGGUUCCAGAGGCUGAUAAGCACCGAAGAAGCCGUGGACCAGCACAUGAACUUCUGCAAAAACUUCAGGUCCUCGAGUCCGCCGUCGAACCCCACCUUCCACCUCAUCUCCGCCAUGCGUCAGCUUCUCCGUCGAAGCUUGGAUUCUCCCAGAGCUUUGAGGUCGACGCCGAAUAGUCCAGUGAGGCAGAGCCAAGAGAUUCCGCGUCCGGCGCUGACUCGAUCGGAAAGCUGCUUUCCGACGUUGUCUGGCUGAUUAAUUUAGUGGCGAUAUGAAGAAGGAAGGUAAAUGGCUAUGAAGAAUAAAACAGUUGUAAACAGCGAAAAGUUUUAUCUCAAUUGUGAAAAAAAAAAUAUAAAAUAUUAAAAAAAACAAACUGGUUUUAUGAUUUAGAACUUGUUCAUGUUCCUAGAAUUUAAAUUUAUAACCUUUUUUUCUCUAUUUUUUUUCUUUUGUAAUUUUCUGCAUAAAAUAAGUGGGUCAGUGAUAUUUAAUUAUUUUAAGAAAAAUGAUAGGCUUCUCAUGAUUGAUAUGACAAAGGAAAAAAUAAAAAGGGAAAUUUAAUAAUAUUUUUUGAACAAUUUUUUAGGAAUCAAGUAAUUGAAUUUAGAAAAAAAAAUUUCCUCUCAAUUAUUUCCAAUAUUCUGUUUGGGAUUCAAAUAUUAGCGGAAGAUUAUACAAUAAAAAAUUAUUUUUUAUUUUAAAAAGUAAAAAAACUAAUUUUAAAAAACACUUCAAAUACACCCCAAAUUCAUUCAAAAGCACAAAAUAGCAAGAAUUAUCCCCCUCUUUGGUCCGUCAAUUUCAGGAAUUUAAACCCAACAAAGGAGACUUUUGCCAUGGAGGAGAUUCGAUGCAACGUGGAGUGUGUACUUUUGGUUCUCAUUCGGUCUACUGGGCAUUCAAUGAAUUUUCCAGGUGUUAUUCUGCGAUUUAAAGUGUAUGGAAUUUGUCUAAUGGAGGAUGAUAGGAAAUCUAACUUUCGAUUCUCGUUUCAUUAUUGAGGGGGUUCGGCACUUUCUUUUUGGGAUUCUCCAAGUGUAGUGUUUCUUGGAAGUACGAAUCCCCCAUAUCUUACAAAUUUUGCUCCCUUCACUCGCUUGGGAACAAUGGAUUAUUAGUGCCUAAUUUUGCCUCCAAUAGAGAAGAAGAUGCAGUUAAGCUAAAGACUAGGGAAAGAGUCUCUGAAUAAUCCUAAUAAUUGGCAAAAAAAAAAGGAAAAAAAAAGAAGUUCAUAGAAUUGAAUUGAGGUGGACGUGGCCACCACCACCUUGUGCAUGUGAUGAUGGAUGGAAAUGGGGUUGGUGAAUGGUGGGCGCACGACCUUACUAGAUGAAUUAUGAUUAAUCGGUUGAAAAAAUAAAAAUAAGUGACCUUACAAAAACAAUUGUAAACAAAAGAAAAAAAAAAAAAAAAGAAACACCUAGGAUUAUAGAUAGAGACACAAUAAUAUAAUACAUGAUUAUUAUUAUCAUUAUCAUCAUUGUUUCAAUUUUUUUUUCAACAUCUACAAAUCGAUUCGACAUUUUAUAUAUAUUUUGAGAAAAAUAUGAAAGAAAAAAAAUAGAAAGAAAAAGUAAAAUAAAAAAAAGUAAGUUUAAAUUUAAUAAAUUAAUUUAUAUACUACUUUAAAUUUAUUUUUACUUUUUAAAUAAAAAUUAAAUAAAUUAAAAAUAUAUAAAUUUCUUGUUAAUUUUAAUUAUAUUUGAUAUUCUUUUAUAAAACCAUACAUAAAAAAAAAAAUUCUUAUCAAUUUAUUUUUCUUUAAUAAAAUUUUGAAACUAAGCAUAGCAUUUAAUAUAUUUUUUAAUUAUAUAAAAUAUUUUACUUAAUUUUAUUUAAAUAUUUAUAAAAUAAACACGAGUCAUUAUAUAUAUAUAUAUAUAUAUAAUAUUGAAGUGCAUACUCUAUUCCAAAGCUUUUUCAUGGUGAUUUUUUUUUGUUUUUGGGUUAUUUUAAUUUCUUUAAAGGGAUCUCAGUGGCACAAAUAGAGAGAGUGACAGCAAAGAUUUGAGGUUGAUUAGUUAAUAGGAGUCAGAGCUGCACUUAAUUUGUUUUUUUCUUUUUGCUGUAAAGUAGCUUCUGGAAAUGAUGGUGAAGUGGAUCACUGGUUGCAGCGGCCAAAAGUUUUUAAAAUUUUUAUUUAAAAUUUUUUAUUAAAAAUUCGUUCUCAUUAAGGAAUAAAAAGUAAUGAAAAAUAAAAAAUAAAAAUAAAAUUUAACAUUUAUAAAGUGAGCAAAUGAUGAAAUAAGUCAGUACAAAAUGGGUGGCUAUAAAAAAAAUAAAAAUAAAAAUAAAUUAUUGUUCAAAAUGGGGUCACCUGCAACCACAAAAACUUUGGACUCAUCUGCAUCACCAAGCUCAUAAUUCUCACCACAGAUUCUCGUACUGCAAAAACAAAUUCUCACAUCAGAAAAGGCCAAAACCAAAAUAAAAACGAAAUGACCUUUUGUAAUCAUGCCUGUUUGGUGUACCCAACAUUGAAUCCAUUUCUUUAAUCUCAAUUUAAAUGCUUUUCACUUUGGCAGAGAACUGGACUUAAACCAAACAGAUCUAAAUUCUCACGAACCAAACACCCCCAAGAAAGCAAAUUUUCUAGCCAGCUAAUAUGAUGUAGAAUAUAAUACUUGGCAAUUAACUGUCAUAAUCUUUGAAAAUGGAGGUUUUCCUUUUAUAAAAUAAAUAAAUAAAUAUAUGUACACUACUUCCUUAUACAAGUGUGUAGAAACUUCCAACAAUUAUAAGACUUUGUUUCUCCUACCUUCCUUGAAAAUCACUUCACCUAACCAACCCAAUAAUGGAGCUCUGAUUUUUCAGACUGUUCACACCCAUCUUCAAUCUCCUAAAUUAUACAAGUAUACAUUAAAAAUUUAUUCAUGUGAUUCAUUCAUCCUUUGUCUUAUUUGAAUUAUGUGAUUGGACAUAAAUGUAUUCACAUGGGGGAAGUUAUAUUGACUUUGAAAAUUUCAAGGAAAAGAAAAAAUUUAUAAUUUUUUUUAUAUGAGAAAUCUUUAAUGAGAAGAGAGUUUAAUUAAUGAGGAAUGCAUUUAUCUUGACUUUUCUUAUAUUCGUUGAAGAAAAAUAAAGUAGAAUGAAAAUUAUAAUAAAUUAAAAGUGAGUUUGAAGGUAUUUUUACUUAAAUUAUUUUUAAUGGUCGUGUGUUCUCAAAAACCACUAUGAAUAAUUUUUUCAAAUUAUACCAAGCUUCUAAUUUCUUUUCAAUUUUUAGGUUAAAAACGUUUUUUAAAAUCAUUAUCAAAUAAAUUAUAAGAUUUAGAAUAUGUUGAUAGUGAUGAUAGAAAGUAUUUUUAGUAUUUUUAAUAGAUGAAAUUUUUUAAGUAUUAUAAAUAUUAGAAACAUUUUUUAAAAUUACUAUCAAACAUAUUUUUAGUUUUAUUUUUAAAACGAGUUAGAAAAGUAAAAAAAAAGAAAAAAAAAAGUGAAAAUAAUAAAUAAAUAAAUAAAAUUCUUAAUAAAUAUUUUAUACCUGUUUACUCAAAUUUAUUUAUUUUAUUUUACAUAAAUAAAUAAUCAUCUUUGUAAUUUUUUAUUUUAUAUAAAUCAAUUAAAAAAAAGAUUUCUUUCUAAUUUUAUUUCUUUUUCUAAUACUUUUCAUGAUCAAGCCAGCCAUAACCAAAAAACCCUAAAAAAAAAGUAAAAUUCUAAUAAAUAACACCAAUAAGAUGGAAAGCUUAUCUAGUUAUCCUUUUAACAAAGAUUCUACCUUGAGAAUUUCUUGAAAAUUCUCAUCCCCCAAGUCAAAAAAAGCCUAGAAACUCCUUAUCCCUCUUAUCCUCCUGUGAUUUUCUUCAUCUCUACUCAUUAUACCCAAUAGAAUUUUCCUAAAUUGAUAUUUUCUUUUUCCCUUUUGGUAUGUGGAAUUGAAUUAGAAGACUUUCUCGAAAAUGAGGGCAAAGGGGGGAAGCAUCAUCUAUAUUUGAUUAUACGUCAAGUCCUCUGAAUUAAUCUUCAAGUAAUAAUGAUAACAAUACCAAGUUGGAGGAAGGUGUGUAGAAUAUACACAAUUGCAGUUUGAACCAAAUCUCCAUUUAUUUUAACUAAUAUUAUUUCAAAUUAUUUAAUGCCAAUUAUAAGGUAUAGGCAGGCGUAAACGGAAAUUUUUUUAGACAAGAAGAAAGGUCCUACUUGCUUUAUGAUCUGACAAUUUUAGAUAUUUAAUUGAAAAAGGUGGCUCAAUAACGUAGCCUCUACUGGCCAAAGCAGUGGUUGGUGACGUUAUAUAAAUAGAAACAGACAUUAUCAAUGUUCACAAAGGCUAUGCCCAUUUAGGAAAUUCAUGGACUCUCACUUCCUAAAAUCAAACAAUUUGUGCCAAACCGAUAUCAUUAAGGAAAAUGGGCAGAUUAUGGUAUGGUUUAUAAAUGUACUUGUUGGGUACCUAUAGAAAAUGCACUACUAAUUAGAUGAUGUUACGGGAUCUUUUGUUCUUAAUUAUCAGGGUACCUUAACAUUUUCCUUAAAAUUUAAAAAAUAAAAUAUCAACUUCAUCCUUGAAAAUACGUGGUUACUAAAAGAGGGCAAAUGCUCCAUUUUGGUGGCUGAUGCCAACAAUCUUUUCAAGAGACCAUACCAAAUAGGGUAACUGAUAACUGACUAAAAAAACAAUGCAUUUAUUUUGCUCAUUAGGAGCCCCAUCUCACAGGGCACUGCCACGGUCAGCUUGAGAGUGUGGCGGCUGUGGCCUUUAACAUUUGGCCUACUCAAGGGCCGUGAUAGCGCAUAAUGCAGAGAUACAGAAGAGAGGAGGUAGUGACGUACCAAUAAAAUCUCUGACUCUAAUAGAAAGUAGGAUUCGAUCCCAAAGUCCCUUUUCCAGGGAUCAUUUCAGAGUGGAGUCACUCGAGAGCAUGACCUCACAAAAUGGAGGGAUACGAGGAGGUUACAAGUGUAAAGUUGGGUUUGAUAAUAAUUUAAAAAAAAAUAAAACUCUAUUUCAAAACUUAAAAUAUUUUUAAUUAGUUUUUAAAAAUAAUUUUUAUUAGUUUCAAUAAUGGCCCGAAUCGAACCAGGACCGGACACUCUCCUACACAUCAUGACAUUCGUUCUAACCAAUUGGGCACCUUAACGGGCUGCUUGGAUGGAGAUUUUCAGGGAAAUGCAAACUAAUACACCAAGAGAAAGCUAUAUUUGGUGUGAUUUUUCUUUGUUUUAUUGUUGGCUCUUAUUUAGAAACAGAAGGGAUCAGUACAAACUCAGUUUCACACUAAUGAAUUCUCUGGCCAAAGCUCUAUUAAGAACAACUGAAACCACCAAGGCAGACAAUGUGGCUCUGGCCGGGGUUGCAGAGAAGCUGUUGGCCCCUACAUACAGAAAACAGAGAUAAGCCAUAAAUGCUACAACUAAUAAUAUAUAAUAAAAAAUGUCUGGAAAGUUGAAGAUAAUAAAAGCACAAAGUACCUUACCAUAGGCAUAUCUACAAGCAAAAAAUCAUUCCUGUCAAAAUGAUGAUUCAUCUCCGUAGUUGAUUGUACUGUCAAAAUGUUACUUGGGUAUCAAUGUGAAAUGUAGAUGAUAACGAAAGCUUGAAAAAGAAAGGAAAAAAAAAAAAAGAAUGAGCUAGGAAAAUUUGGACACUCCAACAAUAUAAGAGACUGACAGUAGCUUAAAAUAUCAAAAGAAGGAUGAGAAAUGUGAGUAUCGACUCGGCUAAGAGAAUCAACAAGACUAGCUUUACCAUAUUGUGCGCCGCGUGUAUUGUUCCCAUGAGUCACUUCCUGCUCCACCGCGGCCCCUUGUAGGUAAGUUUACAUUGACAAUGCCACAGUCAAUUCCAAGCGACCUGUUAGUAUGUCUUACAAUGAAUGUUAAGGCUUUCGUUCCCUGAAAUUUUGAGUGGUUCUUAUAUUGGUAAUUUCAUUCACACUUUUUUUGCCAGUAAAACAAUUAAAUUAGAAUUUUUGGACAUUUUUGAAGGUAAUUUGAUUUUUAUUUAUUUAUAUAUAUUUACUAUAUCAAAGGCCAUCAGGAGAGCCUCAGUCAAGUAUUGCUCUCAUUCAAAGUGAAAAAGAAUUUAAUUGCCUCAUAAAAACGAGUAAUAAAUUACUGAAACACGCACCUAAUCCCUGGGACGACAAGAUGAGGCUUGCGGGUGAAGAUAGAAUUACUUGAUCCUGGGGAGAUGGAGUUGUUUAUUUGCAUUGCCUCUUCAAAAGUCUGCAUAAAGAGUUUAGUUUUAAGGAAUGAGAAAGUGUGAAUACAUGUAUAAACUAAUACUUGAAUCAUGAAGAGGCUACCGUAAACUUGAUAACAUAAAGAACUGGAACAAACAAUUCUUCUUUCACAACAUCUGCAUUUGGAGAAAUCUCAACAAUGGUGGGCCGCACAAAAUUUCCCACAGUGCUCACUACAUCACCUAUAAAGACCUUCCCUCCCUGCAAAACAUCAGUGACUGGAGUUACUGAUUUACUGAUAAAGAUGAAAUAAUCAAUGCCCAAUGCAAGAUUUUGAUAAAAACGGCAAUGAAAUAGUUGCAGGGCAAUCUUGUAAUGGUAUGUAGAAAUCAAUAUGUACAAGCCCCAGGAUGGAACUAAAGGAGCUUCACAUCUCAGAAUCAUUUAGAUAGCUCAGAGCUAAUGGAACUUGAAGAACUUGGGAAAAGAAAGUCUCCAUCUGUAUAUUGUUGUGAAUACCCAGUUAUAUGUAAAUUCAAAACCUUUGUCACAUUAGGGAGGAAAAAACUUGACAGUUUAAAACAUUGGUUGAGGUACAAGAGAGAGUACAUACCUGAGACUUGAUUUUCUGCAUCACCGUCCGGAAGUUCCUCUUUAAGGCUUUGGUAUGUAAUGGCCCAAGUAACGUACCUGUCUUUAAUGGAUCUCCCAUGCCAAUGGUAACAAGUGUGUAUUCUAGAAGUAGUCGCUCAAUUACUAGUUCAUAUAUAGUUUCUUGAAUAAACUACGGUACAAGCAAAUAAAAAAUUUAGCUUCAAGAUUGGCCUCUGUCACCAUAUAAAAUUUCAGUCAAAGGUAAAAGAUUUUUGAAUACCAGCCUGUGACAUGUUAUGCGGCAUUGACCAGCUAUGCCAACAGCAUCAAGCAGAACAGCUUGAACAACUAGCGGAAUAUCAGCAUCACCCAUGACAGUUAUGGCAUUAUUCCCACUUAAUUCAAGCAAACAUUUACCAAAUCUAUCAUUCACCCUCUGUUGAACCAUUAGCCCCACCUGUAGUUGGGCAUAAACAGCAGUGAAUCGAAUGCAGAUUGAACUAUUUCAAUUGCAUAAUUUAAUUGCAGAUCGAAGUUGGAAAAUGUGUAGCCCAGUAGAAAUGAACAAGUACACAUAAAAUUGUCAUGGGGAUUGGUCUCUUGGAUCAAAAUAGGCAUGAAGAUUUUCAGUGUCUCAGAACCAGAAGUAUAUAGAUAUUCCACAACUAACAGGGGCAAGAGAAUGGUUUAUAUCUCAAGCUGACGCAUGAAGAAAGGUUUCUGUUUUAUCUUUUCCUCACUUUGAAAUUUUAUCAAUGGAAAUUUAAGAAAUAUUCUCAUAUGAACAUCCAAAAUAUAUCUUUUCAAACAGAAGUAGCUUAAGAUAUCAGAAGGGUAAAUACAGAUCUGAUAGUACCAAGUGAAGCAAGCCUGUGGUUUGAUAUUCCUCGAGAAAAAGAUGCAUUUAUAUUGCGAGUUGCAAGAAUGAAUGAAUAAUCAAAUGACUUUUGAAAACAAAUCCAUAAACAAAAACAUCAUAGAGAUUACCUUGGAAGUUCCUGUGAAUGAAACUAGCGGUAUGCGUUUAUCCUCUGCCAUUGCUUGACCAAUUGGAGCACCCCCACAAAAGGAAGUGAAAAUUGCACCUGGUAAAUUGUUGUUCUUUAAAACCCCAGCUACCAACUUUGUAAUUGCAAUGGUCACCAAAGGUGUUGUUCGAGAACCUUUCCUGCGAUUCAUUGCAUAGAAGGAAUUAGUCAUGUUCGAAUAUGAGUAUGCAUUGAGAUAUGCACAGAAAGGCAAAAUGGGGUUAUAUAACAUAGCAGAAAUGGCAUAUUAUGGACUGAUGUACCAAGGGAAGACACAAAAAGAAGCCUCCCAGGGUUGACCUCUUUUUCUUUAAAAAUACAUUCUUAAUCUUCAACUGUUCCUAUACAUAAUAAAAACUACACCUUCAAGUUUCUUUACUUGUUUGCUACAAACAAUACAAACUGGACGAGGCACCCAGAUAGUUUCUCUAAGUUCAAGGUCAUGUUAGAAGCUGAUUCAUAGUCCAGAGACCACAGUUAAUGCCAGAUUUAUUACAAUUUACAAGCAAUCCAAUUAUAAUAUGCAGGAACGGAGAAGGAAGAUUUUCCAGACUGGAACCAUUGGCUCCAUAAAAAGGUGUAGGCAUCUUUUAUAGAGGUGCAUAAUAGAUAAGAGUGCUUUAUUUUUGGACGUGUAGAAAUGAUAUCUUGCAUUAACAGGAAGUAGACAGGAAUUGGUCUAUCAAUGCAUUAAUAAAUCAAUGAAACAUGAAAGGCACUAUUGAGAAAAAAUGAUUCAUAAGUUCGUGCAACCAAUAUAGAAAAAAAAACCUUUAAAGACAAUGAAAAAGUAGAAAAUGAGUUAUGAGUCAGAAUCAAAGGUUACCAGACAACACAAUUACCAGUGACUAGUGCCAUGCAAGCAUUCCGACCUAAAGAAACACAUUACAUAAAGAUAAUAUAAGAAGGUGGAAGGGAGUUCAUUUUAUUUUUCAAUGAAAAAUCUGCUGAAAAUGUUCUAUUUGAUACAUCAACUAAAGUUAAAUAUCAAACAUACUUCAAAGAUAAAUAUUUUGGUUUGUACAAAGAUAAACCAUUUUCUAAUGCAAAAUUCAAAAUUUUAUUAAAUUAUGCUAUAUUUUAAACUGAUUAAGUAUAAAGCUUAAUCCUAUUUUUAUCAUUAUUGAUAGUCAAAUUGUCUGAAAAAUAGUUAACUCUGGAAAAAAGUGUCCAUACCAACUAUUAAUAGGGAGAGAAAGAUCCUAAUAAGUAAUAACAGACAUAUUAAAUGAAAUGGAUAUAUAGAUUUGUUUGCUAAUUGCUUUUCUAAAGAAGAAAAUAUAAAAUACGUUUGAUAAUUAGUUUUUUGUUUUUAAAAAAUAGAAAAUAGAAUAUUUAAUUUUUGAAAAUAUCUUUUAUUUGUUUUCACUUGGUUUUUUUUUAUGGUUGUUUUAAAAAAUAAUUAUAUAAAAUGGAGAAUAAUUAAAAAUAAAAUACUACAUAUAAAAGUUAUUUUUAAAAUAUAUCUAUAAAUAUAAAAAUAUAAAAAUUAUUUAAAAUUAUUUUAUAAAUCUAUUUUUUUAGAACUACUAAUUUAAAAAAUACUUCAAAAAUAGAAUCUUAGUUAUGUCUCUUCUUUAUCCAAACAUUGAACUUACUCUUUUAAUGAAAAAUGCAAAACAAAGCAUCUCAACCAUAAAGAUUGGGGCAACACUUGAAUCAGUAUUUAUUUGCAUAAAAAUAACACUUAGUGGAUCUAUGUAAGUAUAAUCCUUGCACAAGCUAUCCAGAAAAGUAUAUGUACUUUUAGUACCAUGCAUUUUGCCUGCUUUCAGAGUAAUGCUUGCUUCACAAACACUUCAUAGGCAUAAUAUAAAUAACUGUGGCCAAGAUGGAAGCAAUAUCUUGGCAUUGCUAAUUGUCCCCAUUGAUUUGUGGGUCAAGAACUCAAUUGGGUAGGGUUCUUAAAGUUUAAGUUCUUUUGAAAAUAGAUCCGAAAAAUAGUUAUUUAAAACAAUUAUUUAAACUUAUUCUUUAAUGUUUUACAAAAUAUAAAUCUAUUUGAGAAUUUCAAAUAUUUUUAACUUGUCUUUAAUAGAAAUAAUAUUUAUAUAUAUUACUUUAUUGUUUUAAUCAUUCUUCAUAUUUUUGUAUAAUUAUUUUUUAAAAUAGUUAUAAAAACUUAAGUGAAAACGGUGAAAAACAAGUAAAAAAUAUAUAUUUUAAAAUAUCAUGUUUUUUAUUUUAUUUUUAAGAACAUAAAAUUGUUUUCUAUUUUUUAAUUAUCAAAUGUGAUUUUUUUUUUUAAAAAAAAGAAUAGAAAAUUAUUUUUGAAAAACAGAUCACAUAAUACAAAAUAAAAGGAAGGAAACAACCCCCUCUAAUGACCUUACUCUGAAUUUAAUUCACAUAUCAAGCUCCCAAGUAUCAAAUUAAAUUCAUGCAAAUCACGAAUGAAACUCACCGAGAACAGCACAUGGAAAAUUGAAAGGUGUAAUUACACCAACCACUCCGAAAGGAUUACGUAGCUGCAAUAGACAACAUGCACAAAAUGUCAGCAGUAGUAUGACCCAUAUACAUAUCUAGCCAAGUCCAGAAGCAGAAACAUGCGGCACACCUGCAAUGUUACAUGAUUUUGACCUGUAGACGAAUUAAACAAAGUUAUUCCAGGGCUUACUUGGGACUGAAAAGGAAAUUCCAAUCUCAUGUGAUGAUUGUUCGAAAGUAAAGGCAGUUGGAUCAAAGAUAAUAUUGAUCACUAAAUAUAUAUUUCAGCAAUGGUAUCAAUGUGUAAACUCACGCUCAUGUCUGAUUGAUGCAUUUAGAUUCAGUUUCUCACUUAACCCCGCGGCAUAAUCACACAUGUCAAUAACUUCCUGCAAACAAUGGCGCGGCUGGAGUUGGAUUCAUAAAUUUCAAUUGUAGACUACUAAGGUUUUCUUCCAGCACGGGUUUCCAUUCACAUUGUCCAAAAACAAAUAUUCACAGGAAAAAAAAAAGAAAGAAAUGUAACAAUUAAUAUGAUAAACGCAAUUAAUAUUUACUCCAAAAGGCAAUAAUAAUAAUAAUAAUAAUAAAAAUAAUAAUGUUGAGUACACACGGGAGUCUAUGAAAUUGUUAAUGUAAACAUAUUAAAGGAAGAAUAUAAAAAUAAAGCAAAUCAUACUAAAAGAUAUAUAACAUUCUAACAUGGUUCAAUCAAUGAUAAAGAGAAUUAUGAGUUAUUUUGUCCACCCGGUUACAUUGUAGUGAGCCAUUUUCCUUACAUCUAUAUCCCAUUUUUUUCUUAUAAAUUUUUUCCAUUAAAACUUAAAAUAUUUAUAAAGAUAUUUUCGCUAGCUUUCCUUAUUUAUAGAUUUUAAGUGGUUUUCACAUUUCUAUUUUCAUUCAUAAUUCGGGCCAAAAGACAUGCCGCUGAAACAAUCAAAUUAGGAUUUUUGUGCAUUUUUAAUUUAAUCCUAAAUUUUUUUGAACAGACAGAGAAAAAAAGGCCAUAAAAGUUGGAUUGUUACUUCAUCCAAUGAAUUAUGCUUUUGAUCCACAACAUCACAUGAAGGGAUGAGAUAUUUCCAAUGUGCAAUUCUUUCUAACUAAUACAUAUUUAUUUCAAUAGCUAAUCAUUUAGCGGGGAGUCAGUUGACGUUCAUAUCCGACAAAUAAUUAAUAAACAAUUUUACUGCUAAUUGACAAGUGAUAAAACAAACCUGAACCUCCCCAAUUCCUGCCACUAAUAUCUUUCCCACCUCAAGUGACACAAGCCGACCGAAUAGCUGGAGUUUGGCUCUCAAAGCAUCACCUAUCUGUCUAACAAUCUCGCAUCUCUUACUUACCGGAGUCUGAGACAGUAAAUGCAGCAUAUGCAUUAUGAGUUGUAAUACUAUGUAAGAUAUUCCAGAAGGCAUAUUUAAAAAGGAAUAAAAAAAAAUCUAGAAAGCAAUAAAUCUCAAAGAUGAUGAUCUCACUUUCAUCCAUAGCUUGGCUGCUUUACUGCAAGCUUGGAUGCCUUCCUCAUAAUCUUCAAUGGAACCCUCCGUAACCGCAGCAAUUGUCUGAAUCAACAAGAUGUGUGAUAUCUUCAUCAAUCCAUCUAAUAUUUUGAUUUUUUUUUUUUCUGAAAGUUUUUGUCCACAAUUUCCAUGUCUCGGUACUAAUUUCAGCCCUUUUUCUCGAUCCUAAUUUUCAAAUAGCAAUUAUUUUUCAAUGCUUAUAAGUUAUAACAUAAAUUUUCUUUUUCUAUUUUAAUUUCAAGAUUCAUUCGUAAUUUGCAGUUCUUUAAACAAAUUUAGAAGAACAAUGAAAAUACACGAAUCAACUGAAACCAUGAUCAUUUCACUACGAAUCGAACAGAGUUUAAUUUCUCGGAUUUUGGAUUAAAUUCCAGAAAACAAAAGAUGAAUGGAACAGGAUCUGAACCUCAUUGUCUACAGGAUUCACAGAGGUGACCAUCGAGCUGCUGCGGCCCUUCCACUUGCCAUUGACGUAAUAGCCUGGAUGGACGACGCUGAGAUCGAUCUCACUCAAAAACAUGUACUCGCUCCUCGCGAACAUAUCUGCACAUUCAACGAUCAUCCCACAGUCGACUUCAGGAUCAGAACUCACAAAUCAAAAAUCAAAAUCGAUUAAAAAAUUCACCAUCUGAAAGCGAAGAAAACCAAAGAAACCGAAAGAAACUCCAAGUUGUGACGAUACUAGGCUCAGCUGACACCCAAAACAAGCAGUUUCUUUCAUGUUUCCUACAGUUUCUCAGCCUUCAAACAGAUUAAAAGAGUUCGUUAGGUAUGAAGAGAGAGGAAAGAGCAACGAACUGUGAAUUGAAGAGAGAUUGGGAGCAUAGAGAGAGGCGAGGAGCUUAGAGCAGUGGAGCAAUGCAGACUUGCUGCUUUAAGCGCUGAUUAGUCAGUUAUGAGUUAGAGGAGUCGUUAGAAGUUUGUUACAGAGGAGCUUUUCUGUUACACAGGAGUUCUUAUGAUCACAAACACUCGCAUGUCACAUUCUGAAAGAGAACAAUUGACUCAACCUUUAGCCAAAAUUCUUUUUACAAUUUUCUUGUGUGUUUUCUUCUCUUUAACUCUUUCAAAAAUCUUUAUUGGAACUUGUUGUACAAACAGAAGGCCUUGUAUCACUUGUUAUCCUAAUAGAAGCUUUAUAUUUAUAAGCAAAAAUUUUAAUGCUAAUAUAUUAGUGUAAAAAAAACUUUUCAAUCCUAUAGGAAAUCCAUUUAACGUGGGAUGUCAACCAUUGAUAUGUUUGAUUAUUUUGUCAUGUGUUCGUUUUUUUAUAAUAUUACAAUCAUAUUUUUCGUAUCUCAUUCAUAUUUUUCAUAUUAUAUAACAUAUUUUUAAUAAUUUUCAUUACAUUAUUUAUAAUUUGAUCACAUUCUUAAAUUAAUGAUGACAAUGAAAAGUGCUACUCACUACCAAAAAAAUGGACCACUAUAUGAGAAUGUGGAUGAAAAUUAAUUUGAAGAAAAUUCCAUAAAAUUUCAAUUAUAUUUAAUAUUAUUUUUAAAUAGUUUUAAAUAAUAAUUGUUUCCAUCUUAUAAAUAAAAAUUUGAGAUAUUAGAUGUAAAUAAAUAAAUUUGAUUUCUGAAAAUUGCAUUACUGAUUUAAAUUAUUUUUUUUUCCAUAAUUCCUAUUAAUUCAAUUUAAAAUAUUGUGAUUUUUUUUUAUCACCUGCCAAAGGAAAACUCCUCUAAUACAAUUGAAUGAUUUUAUGAUAUAAUUAAUCUAAUAGAUGAACUCAAAAUUAUUAAGAAUUAUUUAAAUGAUUUUUGAAAAGCUAAAAGCUUACUUUUUUUAGAGUUGAAACUGAUAUUGUUCUUGCUUUUACAAAAAUUGUUUUUAGUUAUGUUAAAAGAAAAAUCAAUUAUGAUAUAAAACAUUUGAGUGGUUUGUAAACUAUGAUUUUCAUAGUUUAUUUUAAGGUAUAUUUGGUAACAUUUUUAAAAAUAAUUAUGAAUUUUUAAAAAUAGUUGUUAAUUAUUUUUAUUUUCAAAAUAAUGUUUGAAAAUUGAAAUAUGAAAAAAUAGUUUAAUUUCUUGACUUAUUCUUCAUAAAUAAUGUAAAAAUUUCCUACUUAUGUGCAUAUUUUUUUAUUAUUUAGAUAUGUGUGGACCCCGCAUUUCGGCUCAUGCGUUUCCCACUCGAUGACGAGCUAGAUUUUAUUUGAAAAUUUGAUUUUUUAUUGAUUAUUUGAAAAUGACUUGGAGUCGCCACUUAUUUUUGUUUUAUUUUUAAAGGGCAAACAAAAUAAGAAAGAAAAACCCUAAGUGUGACUCCUUAUUUUGGAAAAGGUGAUCUGCGAAAAACCGGAUCGGGCUCGGGGGUCAGGUUACUUAUCAGGAAGGUACGGUAAAGACCAUAGCACCCCUCUAAGUCCCUAAAGUCGGGUCUCUACUAAUAAAAUGAAGCUGAUGUGGCAAUCAAUAAGAAAGUCAAUGGAUACUCACAUCAAUCAUGCGUAUAUGAGAAUCAGAAUAUGUAUAGUGAAUGAUCAGAAUGACUGAAUGCGUACCUGGGCAGCAAACAACAACGCGCUAUCAUGGAAUGGGGUUAGUGAAUAAACACAGAAUGAUUAUAUGUAUAUCAAGAACAGAGUAAAUCAAUCACGCAUGGCAAAUAAAUAAAUAAAUCAAUCAAUCAAUUAGUCAUGAAAUCACAUAUGUGGGGGGCCCACCAAAGCCCGAUUUAUUUUUGCAUGAAUUAGUCUCACAAAUUCCAUUAUCUUAGAAUUACGAGAAUCACAUUAAUGUUUAUAUAAAAACCAAGGAGAAUAGAAGGUUUAUUUGAGAAUCCAAGUGGAAAUAAAACAGUUCGAGGGGAAAAUUUGAUUUUUGAAAUUCAUUUGAAAAUUGGAGUCUCGAAAAUUAUUUGAAGAUUGGAGUGUUGAGAAUUAGAUUUAAGAUUUGGAAUUUUGGAUAUUAAAUUUGAAAGAAAUUAGAAUUUUGGAAAUCGGAAAUUAAAUUCGGAAAUUGGAAUUUUGAAUAAUUGCUUAAAAUGGAAUUUCAAAAUAAAGAACUAAAAUAAUAAUAAUUAAAUAGAUUAAUGUGAGUAUUGGAAUUUUGGAAUUAGAAAUUAAAUCAGAAGUUGGAAAUUUUAAUGAAUUGUUUAAAAUGGAAUUUUAGAAUAAAUAAAUGGAAUAAUAAUAAUUAAAUAAAAUAAUGUGAAUAUUGGAAUUUUCGGAAAUAGAAAUUUAAUUUGGAAAUCAAAAGUUUUAAAUGAAUGAUUUAAAAUGGAGUUUUAAAAUAAAUGAAUAAAAUACUAAUGAUUAAAUAAAUUAAUGGGAAUAUAGAAAUUUUCGGGAUUAGGAACUUAAUUCGGAAAUCAGAAGUUUUAAAGAAUUUUGAUUUAAAAUAGAGUUUUGAAAUAAAUAAAUAAAUAAAAUACUGAUGAUUAAAUAAAUUAAUGUGAAUAUGAGAAUUUUUGGGAUCAAGAAUUUAAUGCGGAAAUCAGAAGUUUUUAAGAACUGGUUUAAAAUGGAGUUUCGAAAUAAAUAAAUAGAAUACUAAUGAUUAAAUGAAUUAAUGGGAAUAUGGAAAUUUUCGAGAUUAGGAAUUUAAUUCGGAAACCAGAAAUUUUAAAGAAUUUUGAUUUAAAAUAGAGUUUUGAAAUAAAUAAAUAAAUAAAUAAAACACCGAUGAUUAAAUUAAUUAAUGGGAAUACAGAAAUCUUCGGGAUUAGGAAUUUAAUUCGGAAAUCCGAAGUUUUAAAGAAUUGAUUUAAAUUUGAGUUUUAAAAUAAAUAAAUAAAAUACUAAUGAUUAAAUAAAUUAAUGGGAAUACGAAAAUUUUCGAGAUUAGGAAUUUAGCUCGGAAAUCAGAAGUUUUGAGGAAUUCGGAAAUCAGAUUAAAUUUAAAAGAGCGGAAUUUAGGAGAAUUAUUCAAAGAUGUAAAUUUUAAAUUUAAAUAGAUAAAUAAAUGGAUAAGGUGAUAAUAGUUAGAUAAAUACAUAUAAAAGAUUGGAAUUUCGGGAAUCUGGAUUAAAUUUAAAAUGCGGAAUUUAGGAAAAUUAUUUAAAUAUGUAAAUUUUAAAUUUAAAUAGAUAAAUGAAUGGAUAACGAUUAGAUAAAUAAAUAUAAGAAAAACGAAAUUUCAGAAAUCUAGAUUAAAUUUAAAAAGCGGAAUUUAGGAGAGUUAUUUAAAGAUGCAAGUUUUGUAAGUAGGGUUUAGAAAUUGGGGUUGAGAAAUUUAUGCUUUAAAGAGGUAAAUUAUGUAAAUUGAGAAUUUUAAAUGGGUGAACAAAACAUGAGGCCCUUCAACAAUACACAUGGGCCUGGGCUGCAUUUCAAGCCCAUACCCAAUGGCCAAGUAACCCGAGCCUUCAAUCUCCACCAAAGCUAGUUUUCCACCUGGGUGUCGUCUUCGGCCAAGGAGCUUCCACCACCGGCAACGCGAUGGAGAGGGAAGCAACGGCGGCGGGCUGGCAACAACUAGGAGAUUUUUAUCGCUGUCACCGGUGACCGACGCGACUAAUCUCACGUUCGGAGUGUAACGCCCAAGUUUUCAUUUUAAAGGGUAAUUUAGGAAAUUCUUAAUAAUGAUAUUAAAUUAAUUAAUUAAUUAAUUUAAUAAAAUGGAAGAUGGCUGAAAAGGUAAUUUUACGAAUAAUACCCUAGGUAUAAAUAGAAAAUUAUCUUCUUCCUAUUCUUUUUUGAAUCAUAUUCCUGUUCGCAGAGAGUUUCUAGAGAACGUGAAGUUGAGGUCAGAUUUCAAGGUUUGAAGAACAAACCUCUAUAGGUAAGUUUCUAACCUCUAUAUUAUUAUUUUAGAUUCAUUAGUUAAUUUCAAGCACAUUAGAUAUAUUUUUUUUUGGAAAACCCCAAAUCUAGAUUAGGGUUAGAUUAUUUUUUUUAAUUCGUUUUAAUAUCAAAUAGUGAAAAUUUAAUAUUUUGAUUUAUUAUUGGAAUUGGGGAGAUCUUAAGUUUUUUUUUUUUUUAGAAAAAAAGAAAAUUUCUGUGAAGAUUUCGAUUUAGAUUAGGGUUAGUUUAUUAUUAUUAUUAUUAUUUUUAUUUCGUUUUAAUAUCAAAAUAGUGAAAAUUUAAGAUUUUGAUUUAUUAUUGGAAAUUGGAAAUUCUUAAGCUUUUAGAAAAAAAAAAAAAAAAAAACCUGGAAGAUGCGUGUGCACAUUGGAGAAUGAUUUAAGGAUUAAAAGAAAAAAAUAGAGGACGCGUGUGCUCACUAGAAUUGGAGAAUGAAAAAAAAAAUAAUAUAUUAUAUAUAUGGGGUGUGGGUGUGUGUACGGAUGGAGGGAUGGGUGUUUGGUAGUUAAUGUACAUAUAUGUAUAUAUAUUAUUAUAUUGACAAUAAUGGAUAAAGUUUAUGUUUAAAAAAAAAAAAAAGUUUUAAAUAAAAGAAAGUAAAGUUUUUUUUUGGUAUUAUAAUUAUACUAAUAAUGAGUAUAAGUUAAUAAAUAACAUAGAAAUUAAUUAGUGAAAUAAAUUCUAGUUUAAUUAAAUUAAGUUGUGUCCCAAAAAAAAAAAAAAUAUUAAUUUGAAUACCUAAAAUUUUAGGAUUGACAAACUUGUAAUUUUAGAUAAAUAGUAAUGAUUAUUUCUCUUAUAUUUGUUAGGUGGAGAGUAGAUUUUCAGGAUUAUUUUUUUCCAAAGUUUUUGAGGACUUCUUUUGAGGUAAGGGAAGUUAAUGUAAUAUUUAUAAAAUUAAAUUAUUUCAUAUGUUAUUUUGAAUUGUGGAAAAUAAAAUGAUAUUUUGUUACCAUGCAUGGAUCAAAUUGUUUUGCACUAAAUGUUAUGUUGGAAUAUUUUGUUUUAUUUAUGACACAAAAUAUGGAGAUAUUAUGUUGUGUAAAUUUGAAUACUUGAACAAAAACAUCACUCUGGUUUAUUUGGCCCUUGUCAACGGGAUAUAAUAGUUGACUAUUCGGUCCUGUCAACGGGAUAUAAUAGUUGACCUUUACAUUUCAUGGUGGGAAUGUAAUUGAUUUGGACCCUAGCCUCUAGGGGUUUGGUUAGAGGUUACUAGUACUAGUAGUGUUUGGUUCCGUCCACCAGGAACAAUUUGAGGCUAGCCACCCAUUUGAAAAGUCCCACCUAACUGGGCAUUUGCUAUUUGAUAACCAGAGUAAUGAAACUUGAAUGAAUUUGAUUGAAUCUUAUGUGAAAGUGUUUGAAUUUGAUAUGAAAUUGGUUGGUUGAAUUUUGAAUAUAUUGGUAUUUUUGGAACUCUGAUAUUUGAUAAGAAAAAAAAAAAAAUUGAUAUCUCCUAUUUGAAAUGAAAAUAUUUGAUCCAUGAAUUGCAUUAAUAUUCCUUAUUGGGCUGUGAGCUCAUUCCCAAUUGUUGAAAAUUUUUCAGGUACUCUUAGUUCGGGUGAGGAGUGAUGGCUAGGCUAAGGAAUGGUCAUCAUUAGGAUUUGACUUAGGAUUUUAUGUUGGAUUUUGUUUAACUAUUAGUUAUGUUCAUUUGGAUCUUUUGAUAUUUGGAAGUUAUUUGGAAAUUGAAUUUUGAGGAUUUUAGAUUUUGUUUCCGCUACUCUGAGCAGGUAUUUGGUAAUUGGUAACAUCCAGUUACAAUAUGACUGUUUGAGUCAGAUUAUACUUUAAGCCUUCGGGUUUGAGGUGUGAAAUGACCGUCACGCCCUUGGAGUGGGUCUUGGGGCGUGACACGGAGCAGGUUGAGACGAACCAUGCGUCGGCGUCGGGGAAGAAGCUGUUCGCGACUUCAGGACGGGGUCGUCUGCAUGCUCCAAUUUCUACCUCAUCCAUUUUCUAAUAACACUAAAGAUUGAAGCUUCCUAAGGUCUUCAAGACCAGUGAGGACUUGCCCAACAAGACCUGACCAAGACCUGAACUCUAGUGAUGCUAAGCUGCCCAGCAAGUUUAUACCAACUAUUUGCAGGAAUGGUCACGGGAUGUUUCAGGGGUGAGAGUAAAAAAAAAACAACGUGGGUUCCCUUAGAAACCUCUGGUUUUUGAGGAAGAUCGUAUACCUUUUAGAGAGAAAGCCCCAAAGAUGCUGAAACAAUGAGGGAGCAGAAGCAAAGUUCCGAAAGCGAAACAUUUUCUUGCUAAUGUUUAUAGAAAAAAAAAAAAAAACAAAGUAUAAAGCAAAGCAACACCAUUUUUAGAGUCAAAUCAAAGAAACAGAGGAAGAAACCAGCAACACAGGUGGAAUACCAACAAAUAAAUAAUCUAUAACAUCCAAUGAAAUGAUACCCAAAAAAAAAAAAAAAAUAUGAUCCAUGGUGAGCUUACUUGAAAAAAAAACACCAGAUAUCUUCCCCUCGGUCUGCCUUUCCCUGCUUCUCUUCUUUUCCCGCCUUUUGGUUCCAACUCCCACCUACUCUCCGCUCCCCGUCUCUGCCGAUAUCCUCCUCCUUUCUUUUCCUUUCUUUCCUUUUCUUCAUUCCUCUGUUCCUCUCUUCCUCAGCAAGCCACUACCUGCUUCCUGCCACCCGUCCCAUCUGCCGCCCGAGAGUAGCUCACUUGAGAGCGGUCAGAGAAACAGCAAAAAAAUAAUAAUCAUCCCCCAGAAAACUCCUCCCCUCGGUGGGGGGGUCUACAAUAUGUUUUUUAAUUUAAAAUUUGGUUUAUAUUCUAAAAAAUAAUUGUUUAAAGUGUCCUAAAGUUUUAUUUGGUUUCCAAAUAAUUAUAUAAGAAAUUUAUGUAUUAUUUAAUUUUUAUAUAGAAGAGUUAAAUCCAUGGAAAAAGUUUAUUUUUAUAAUUUAAAUCUAUUUUUUAUUUUUCUUUUAUUUUCCUUCUUUUUUACUUUUUCUGUCGGAUUUUCUUUUCUUCCAUUUACAGUUUACCUUCAACCUUUCAGCAACAAGUAUAGCUUAAAUAUUUGGUAAAGUUGUUAAAUCGGAAUAAGCAUGUCAAUAAUCAAGGGCGUGUUAAAAAUUCAGUCAACUUUCUCUAUAGUGUAAUUAAACACAAUCUUUAAUUAAAUAAAUAUAUAAAAAAAGUAAUUUCAUUUUUCUAUUUUAAUUGAAUUUCUUAUUUUAAAUUGUCUGAUAAACAAUCUUAAAUAUAAAUUUAAAAAAAUAUUAUACAUAAAAAGGAAAGGAGUUUUAUUUAGCAUUCAAUCACUCAUUAAAAUUACAACAAUAGAAUUUCUUAAAAUGGUUCAUUUGGUAUGAUUAUGGACAAUUGAUAAUUAAUUUUAAAUAUUAAAAAAAAUUGAUCCAAAAAAUUAAGUUAUUUGAAAAAUAAGAAAUAAUUCAAAGUCAAUGAGAAUCACUUUAACUAAUCGGAUUGGUGAGAGAAAAUUAUAAUAAAAGUGAUUAUGAGGAAUAUAUAGAUUAAGGCUAAAGAAAAUUUAAGGAAAAUUGCAAGGCAGAAAAAUUAGAGGAAAAAAAUUAAAAGAAAAGAAAAAUGAAGAGAAAUUAAAAUUCGAUUUUGAAAUCCAUAAUUAUUUUUAUGUAUUACUUCAAACGUGUUUUUCCUUUUCUAUAUACAGAUUAAAUAAGUAAGUUUCUAAUUAAUUUUAAUUAUUUUUUAUUUUUUUUAUAUAUAUAUUUUUUUAUGUAUAAUUGAAUAUAAGAAAAUAAAUUUUUUAAUAUCUUUAAAAUUUUUAUAUAGAGAGCUAAAUAAGUAAAAUAAAUUUUAAUUAGUAUAUAAAAAUAAAUUAACUUUUUUUUGUUCAUUUUUUCUUUUCUACUAUUUUUCUUUGAUAUUUUCUUUCUUUACUAUUUUUUCUCAAAUUUUUUUGAAAACCAAACAUAAAUUAUGGGUCCAUUUGGCAAUGCAUUUAGAAAGCACUUUUUACAUUAAAAGUUUUUUGAAAAAAAAAUCAAACAUUUAACAAAAUUUUAAAAAACACUUUAAAAAAAAAAUUGUAAUGUUUCUUGAAGAAAUACUGUAUAUAUAAUUCUACUAAAAAUGCUUCCCAAAAAAAAUACUUUUAUUAAAAGUAUUUUGAAUAGAAAUAUUAGUAAACACAAUGCUUUUAACCCUCUUAAAAUCAUUUCCGAAUAAUGUUAUAAUCUGAAAUGACCUAAAUUUAAUAAAAAUUUCAAUUUCUAAUGUUAUAAAAAAAAUUACCUAAAAGUAAGUUGUAUGCACACAAAAAGAAUACUACCUUUUAUAAAAAGUCAAUUUUCACUAUAAAUAAAAUGUAAAAGUAAAAUAAUUUCUAUCAAUAUAAUAAUAAUAAUAAUUUUUAGAUAUGAGCUAUACUUUCUUAAUCCUGUUGAGGGUGGAGUGGAGGUGUUCAAAACGCUGCGUUUUGAUGACCAAUAACAAAACGAUGCGUUUUGGAGAGCUGGCCGACGGUUGAAAACGUUAUACGCGGACAUUGAAAACGUUAUACCCAUCACAACCAAACAGUCCUUUAGCCUCCCAUUCUUUGCGCAGACAUUGAAAGAGAAGGUACCAUCUUGAAACCCUAAUCUUGUCGUUUUCGUUCAAUUUUUGUUGUUGUUUUUCUUCGAUUAAGAUCAAGAGAAGUCUGCAACUCGUAGAAUUUCGUUCAGGUUUCUCCCGAUUCAGAAAGAAACUAGGGUUUCGUUGCUGGUGAAUCGAAACCCUAGAUUUUUUACUUCUGUUGGCAGAAUCGGGUUUUUGAAUUCAAGGUUAGAGGCUCCGUAAAUAAUUUUUGAGAAUUUUUGGGAUUAGAUCAAAAAAUGAAAGAGUUCAAUAGUUUGAACCGUACCAGACAACCCCAAUUUCGUGCAAUUUUGAAUGGAUUAUGUGCCAUAGUCCUAUUGUUCUUCUUCUACAACCGGGAAGAUAUUCUGAGGAAUCCUCUCCUCAGGCAAUCAUCUUCAACUUUUGAUAAACCCUGGAGCUCAAGAGAUGGCUUUCACGAUCAGCUGAAUGGAAUGGUGGUAAUUCAUCGCCGCACUGGUGAAAUCGGUGUUAAUUCAUCGGGUUUGAUUGAAGGGUCUGAUGAUAACAAUUUGAGUAAAAGCGAUCCGGCCUCGUGUUCUGGAUUAGUUGAUCAUGAGGGUUUUGCUAGCAGAUGCGAGUUCUUGAAAGCACACCCGCAUUGUUCUUCAGGAGGGUUCUUUGAUUACAUAAGAUUUUUCUAUUGUACUUGUGAGAAAUUUAGAUUCUUGGGUUAUGUGAUGUUGGGAAUUUGGCUUGCUACGUUAUUUUAUCUAUUGGGUAACACUGCAGCAGACUACUUCUGCUGUUCGUUAGAGAAGCUCUCAAAUCUUUUGAGGCUGCCUCCCACAGUUGCUGGGGUUGCACUCCUUCCACUCGGAAAUGGAGCACCUGAUGUGUUUGCAAGUAUUGCUGCUUUUGUGGGUAGAGACACUGGUGAGGUUGGACUUAAUAGUGUGCUCGGUGGGGCAGUGUUUGUUACUUGUAUUGUUGCUGGGACUGUUUCUUUAUGUGUUGCCAACGAGAGAGUUCAGAUUGAUCGGAGAUGCUUCAUUAGGGAUAUAUGUUUCUUCCUAUUUACGCUCAUUUCUCUUUUAGUGAUUUUACUUGUUGGUAAGGUGAGUGUCGUGGGAGCAAUUGUGUUUGUUUCAAUUUAUGGGGUUUAUGCUUUUGCUGUUGCUGCGAAUGAGAUUUUGAGGAAACAUGCACGGAGGUUGAAAUUGGAUGUCAUUACACCUUUGAUUCCUGUCAAAGGAAGUAUCUUCUCUCAAGAAGGUGAAGAGGAUGAUUCUAUGUACAGCCCUCUGCUUGAUAUCGAGACUGAAAGUGAUCAGCCCCAACUCCAUGCUUCCUUGCCACAGUGGAUGUGGGCUUCAAAUGUGGCGAUAUAUUCAAACCAGGCAAUAAAGGGUAGUAUGGCAGAUGGUGAAAGACAUUUGUGGGGCUGGACUGAUGAGGGCAUGGAAAACAACCAGCCAUUGUUUUCAUUCUCUAAGUUUGUUUCACUGGUGGAGAUGCCCUUGACAGUGCCAAGGCGGUUAACAAUCCCUAUAGUUGAGGAAGAAAGAUGGUCAAGGGCAUAUGCUGUAGCCAGUGCUUCAUUGGCUCCUGUUCUUCUUGCAUUUUUGUGGAAUUCCCAAGACGAUGUGAGUUCUCAAGGCAUAAACGCCGCAUAUCUUGUUGGUGUUAUGGUUGGUUGUAAUCUUGGCAUUCUUGCAUAUCGUUACACUGUAUCUGAUCAGCCACCUCAGAGGUUCUUAAUUCUGUGGGUUUUGGGAGGAUUUAUAAUGAGUAUCAUCUGGUUCUACAUAAUUGCAAGUGAGCUUGUUGCUCUGUUGGUGGGAUUUGGUGUUAUUUUUGGGAUUAAUCCAUCUCUCCUUGGAUUAACUGUAUUGGCAUGGGGUAACUCAAUGGGUGAUUUGAUGUCAAAUGUUGCACUGGCAAUGAAUGGUGGGGAUGGUGUGCAGAUUGCCUUGUCUGGGUGCUAUGCGGGUCCUAUGUUCAACACUCUCAUUGGUUUGGGGGUCUCGAUGCUGCUAGGAGCCUGUUCAAAGAGACCUGGUCCAUACAUAGUUCCACAAGACAGUAGCUUGUUUUAUACUUUGGGCUUUCUCAUAUCAGGACUAAUCUGGGCACUUGUGGUAUUACCUCGAAACGACAUGCGUCCUAGCAAGACAUUAGGCGUGGGCCUUAUAACCCUCUAUAUGAUAUUUCUCACUGUUAGAGUGAGCACGGCUAUGGAGUUAAUAUCAAUUGCUGGUCUAAGUUGAUCAUAAUUAAAAGGAGCGAGCCUCGUUGAUUUAUUAACACUUGGAGAUAGAGUUGCUAGUCAGCCUGGAUUUGGAUUUGGAUUCAGAUUUCUCCAAGUAGCAGUAACCUUCUUAACCCAGGGAGAUGAUUAUAUGGAUGAGUUCACUGGUCAGCUUGGCAUUGUAUCUCAAAGAGGGCUACAGGGAUGAGAAAAUUCUAGUACUGUAAUAUACUAGCAAGCUAUACUGGCAAAGGAGGGGGUCAUUGUUUGUAUACGUGUAUGCAAAGAAAAAUCUAAUGUUACAUUGUGGGAUCAUGUGUUUUGUGGAUAAAUUUGUUGCUUGUUCUUUUGCUUGAUUGACUCCUUUUAUAAUGAUAAAUGGUUAUGCUUUUCCUCAACACCAAAAACACCCUUGCUUCCCCAUCAGGCAGAUUUAACUUAUUUCUGCCAUGGUACUGAGGUGAAUUUCUUUUCUAACUCUGCAGAAACAUGUUGUAUAUCCUUGUUGUCUAUAUUACUAUAGCUGUUGAUGCACAUUAGGACUCCACCCUUCUUCUAUGUAUCUUUGUAUUUUUGUAUUCUAAUGCGGUGAGGAGGACCUUUUCAACAGUAUGUUGUUAUAUAAUAACUAUUUGGGGGUGGAUCCCACAUUUUGAUUGUGGGCUAUUUUGGAAAAACAUCAAUCCUAGCUAGGAUGUCACCAAGUUCGGUUACGCCCAUAUUUAGGUGGUGUUUGUUUUUUUACUUAAUUCUAAAUAGAAUCUUAAUGCUUAAUAGUGUUAAAUGUUAGGUUGUUUGUUUUUGUUAUAUUUUAUUUUUAUUAAGAAUUAAAAAAUAUAGAAAAAUCAAUAUAUUGUUUUUUCUAUUUAGAAAAAACUACAUAUUUUGGCUUUUUCUAUUUAGUAAAAAGUUUAUAAUAAGUCAUGAAAAAGUAGAAAAACAAACAACCUAAAUUUUGAAAACAAAUUGUUUUAAGCAAAAAGCCAAAAAAACAAAUACCACCUUAGUUAAUGUUUCGGGUUUCGAGAUCAUAUUAGUCAAUAAAUUAAAAAAGUUACUGAUUCACGAUUUAACAAUCCAAUAAAUGAUUUUUAGUUAUUAACUCACAGAUCAAUAGUCAAAUUGGUUGAACUUUGAUUCAAUUAGUGACUUAUCACGACCUUAAUUUUAUUAGGGCCAUGUCCUUAAUUUAACCAUGACAUCGUCAUUCCCAAACCUACAUUUUCAAAGGUGAUUUAUCUUUAACAGGGUUAUUUUGAUUCAACGCAAACAAUCACUUUAGCCUCUAAUAUCCCAAGCAGCCCAUGCUAAACCUUCUCCAACAAGUAGAAAACUUUGUCCUUCCCAUCUCUUCUCACUCCAUCUCAACCAACAGCUCCAAAGAUCCAAGGAUCAACAUGGUUGAAGUUGAAGUUAGGUAGAGCCUCCAAGAAAAGAGGCAAUGACCAUAUGAAAAAUAUGAGAUCACAUCAGUCCAAGAAUCAUACUCAUUCAUAGUAGUCUAAUCUUUGAUGUUGAGAACCCAUGAUCCAAAUAAAAUGCAAUUGGCUACAGAAUAUAAACAAACUAUGACGGUUUUUUUGGUUGGCUCAUAUAAUUUUUUUCUUCAAAAUUUAAUCAUUAUAUCAUAUUUUUCAUACCUUAACUUAUAUUUUUGUUUGCUUGCUUCUGUAUUACAUGAUUAGUAAAUCUUUAUAAUUGGUAAGUAGAAUUCUGAUAAAAUCAACAAGUUCAUGCCAUUAUGAUUCUUGUCCUUCUCAGUAAAGCCAGGACUUAGCUUCAUGCAAAUGACCCACUAAUUUGAUAUUUACAUUUUGUUUAAAUCACAUUUUUUAAAAAAAAAUUAUUAGUAAGAUGACUAGUAAUUAAAAAAAAAAUACAAAUGACAAUCAAAAUAAAAUAAGUAUAAAUUGUUUUUUAUGCCCUGUGAUCUUAGUACCAACUGGUAUAUAAAUGGUAGGAACAAAAAAAAUAUAUCAUAAGGCAGUAAUGGGAUAUGCAUGCAAAUAAGGUCUUGGUUCCAAUUUGUAAGGAGAGAGUCAGAGAACAACAGCCCAUGGAGAUUCCUUCUCUGCUUUUCUUCCUCCUCCUCCUCUGCCUCUCUCUUGUCUCUGCAGCAUUCUCAUCCAACGAUUCACAGAAUUUCAUCGUCCACGUGUCUAAAUCUCAUAAACCCACUGCCUUCGCCUCCCACCACCAAUGGUACGCGUCCAUCGUGCAAUCACUCACCUCCUCAACACAGCCCUCCAGGAUUCUCUACAGCUACGAACAUGCCGCCACUGGCUUCUCCGCUAGGCUCACCGCCGGUCAGGCGUCGGAGCUCCGUCGCAUCCCUGGUGUCCUGUCCGUGUGGCCGGAACAGGUCCACGAGGUUCACACCACUCACACUCCUCACUUCCUUGGCCUGGCGAACGACUCUGGCCUUUGGCCAAACUCUGAUUAUGCUGAUGAUGUGAUUAUUGGAGUUCUGGACACUGGAAUAUGGCCGGAGCUACGGAGUUUCAACGAUUCGGAGCUAUCUCCAGUGCCAGAGAGCUGGAAAGGUGUUUGUGAGACCGGGCCUGAUUUUCCAGCGUGUAACCGAAAAAUCAUCGGAGCGAGAACUUUCCACAGAGGAUAUGAGAGCGCUCUCGGACGGCAGAUUGAUGAAUCGGAAGAGUCCAAAUCACCGAGAGACACAGAGGGGCAUGGAACUCAUACGGCUUCAACAGCAGCUGGAUCCGUGGUUCAAAACGCCAGUAUGUUUGAAUACGCAAAUGGAGAAGCGAGAGGCAUGGCGACAAAAGCUAGGAUUGCUGUGUACAAGAUCUGUUGGAACCAAGGCUGUUUGGACUCGGAUAUACUCGCAGCGAUGGAUCAAGCAAUUGCCGAUGGUGUUCAUGUCAUCUCACUAUCCGUUGGCGCCAAAGGCCUAGCUCCUAAGUACGAUCGCGACUCAAUCGCGAUUGGAGCGUUUGGAGCGAUGGAACAUGGUGUUAUUGUGUCUUGUUCCGUUGGAAAUUCUGGCCCCAAACCUUUCACCGCCGUAAAUAUCGCGCCGUGGAUUUUAACAGUUGGUGCCUCCACCAUUGAUAGGGAGUUUCCUGCCGAUGUGGUUCUCGGCAACGGUAGAAUCUUCAGAGGUGUGUCACUCUACACUGGGGAUCCACUCAAUGCCACUCAUCUCCCAUUAGUUUUGGCCGAUGAAUGUGGAAGCAGACUUUGCGUGGCUGGAAAACUCAAUCCCUCUCUAGUUUCUGGAAAAAUUGUUGUUUGUGAUCGUGGAGGCGGCAAGAGAGUAGAGAAGGGACGCGCCGUUAAACUCGCGGGUGGUGCCGGAAUGAUCCUUGCCAACACUAAGACUACAGGUGAAGAGCUUGUUGCCGACUCACAUCUAAUCCCGGCGACCAUGGUAGGUAAGACUGCCGGCGAUGAAAUCAAGCGAUAUGCAGACUCAAAAUCAUCUCCAACUGCAACCAUUGCCUUCCGAGGAACGGUGAUGGGAAAUUCUUUACUGGCCCCAAAGGUCGCCUCAUUCUCCAGCCGCGGUCCGAACCGGCUCACCCCAGAAAUUCUUAAACCGGAUGUCAUAGCCCCAGGUGUCAACAUUUUGGCCGGUUGGACCGGGUCCAAUUCUCCAACCGGUUUAGACAUGGACGAGAGACGAGUCGAGUUCAAUAUAAUUUCCGGCACGUCCAUGGCUUGUCCGCACGUGAGCGGACUGGCUGCUUUGCUUCGCAAAGCUCACCCUGACUGGUCCCCAGCAGCCAUAAAAUCUGCGUUAAUGACAACAGCUUAUAAUUCGGACAAUUCUGGGAGCCAAAUUACCGAUCUUGCCACCGGCAAUAAAUCAACACCGUUGAUUCAUGGGUCCGGCCACGUGAACCCCAUCGGAGCCCUCGAUCCAGGUUUGGUAUACGACAUUGGUCCCGACGACUACGUAACCUUCCUUUGCUCCGUUGGAUACUCUGAAAACAUUGAAAUUUUUGUAAGAGACGGUACAAAGGUGAAUUGUGAUUCGCAGAAGAUGAAACCAGGCGAUCUGAAUUACCCAUCAUUCUCAGUGGUAUUCAACGCCGACAGUGCUGUAAUUAAACGCGGCAGGGUGGUGAAACACAAGAGGGUGGUUAGAAACGUUGGCAGUUCGAAGAAUGCAGUGUACUCGGUGAAGGUGAAUCCUCCGCCAUCCGUUAAAAUCAAUGUUUCACCGAGUAAGCUUGUGUUCACUGAAAAGAAUCAAGUGGCAUCGUAUGAGGUUACGUUCACUAGCGUUGGAGCUUCUCUCAUGACGGAGUUUGGGUCUAUAGAAUGGACCGAUGGGUCCCAUAGGGUGAGGAGCCCAGUGGCCGUCAGGUGGCAUAACGAUUUAGUGGCUUCGAUGUGAUUUUGAUAUUUGGAUUGGUAAUUUAAGGGUGUGACUUGUGAAUUUUUCUUCUUUCUCUUGAAAUGUUAGAUGUGAUCAAUCUUCUCAUGUAAGAAGCCUAUGCCAUACUUCAAAAGCUUCUUUUCAAUGUUCGAUAGCUUAAGGAAAGACCAUUAUGACCUAUAAAAUAUUUGGCUUUCAUAGAAUUGCAUACUUCUAGAAUUAAUUUUAUUUCAUUAAAAAAAUUAAUUUCACUCCAAUACUUUAUAUAAAUUAAUUUGAAGAAAUAAAACUGAUAAAAACUUUAUCCUUAACUUACUUUUAUCCUUGGGCAUGCUUACACGUGAAUAGAUAUUUGUAAUUUAAUUUCAAUUUUCUAUCCACCAAUUAAAUUAUAUCUUAAUCUCAUCAAAUAAUCAUCUUAAAAAUGGUGUACAAGAAAAUUGAAAUUAACAAUUAAUUUUAUUUAUUAUGUUUCAAAUGUCUUUGCUUCCCAACAUGUAUGUCUACAUAGUAAGAAACUAAACUGCAAGUGCCAUUCCCCCUAAGGCUAUCGAUCAUCAUAGUCCUUCUCCCCAUUGCCUUUUUUUUUUUUUUAAUUUGGGUCCAUUAAAGCUUAUUGUGCAAUCUUUUAGUUCUUGAGAAAUGGGAUCGAGUGAAUUAGUUACAAGAUUAAACAUUAAGGUGAUGUUUGUUUUUUAGGUGAAUAAAAAAAGUCAAAAUAUUUGAUAUUUUCUAUUCAAUUAAAAGUAAUUCAUUGACAAUAAUCGACAUAAUUAAACUAAAAUUAUUGAUAACAAGUUCACUUUAAUUAUAUUGGUUAAUAUCAACAAUGUCGUUUUAGCUUAAUAGAAAAAGUAAAAUAUUUUGGUUUUUUCUAUUCAGUAAAAAAACAAAUACCAUAUAAAGUUAUGUUUAAUUCCAAAAAAUUAAAGAAAAAUAUGAAGAAAAAAAAAGUAAAUUUAAAAUCAAUAAACUACUUUAAUAUGUUACUCCAAAUUUAUUUCAUUUAUUUUAACAUUUUUUUUGCAAAAAUUAAAUAAUUUAAAAAUAUAUAAAAUUUUCACUCAUUAUAAUUAUAUUUGAUUUUUGUUUACAUUUUUUAUAAUACAAUCAUAUAUGAGAAGAAUAUUUUUUUUUUAAUAAUUUUUUUUUAAAAAAAAUUGAGAACCAAAUAUAACCUAAAAUAUAUUUCAUCAUUAAAUUAUUUUUAUAUAUUAUAUCAAAUCCAUUUAGCUUAUUUCAACUUUUCUCUAUAAAGAUUCAAACAAAACAUGGUGUAACUGUGUAAGGAGCAACAAUAAUUGAAGGUAAACCUUUUUAUUAUAUCAUAUUUUUCAUACCUUACUUUUGUUUCCCCCUACCUUCUUGUUACCUUCCCUAAUCACUAUCCCACACAUGGAGAGAAUCCCACCACGCCAAUCAACAAGGUGCCAUUAUCAUUCUUGUCGUUUCUCCAUAAACAGCCAUAAUUUAGCUUCAUGGAAGGGAAAGUGACCCACC